rnacentral:lncRNA from 1 species
UUUUUUUUUUUGAGUUUCAAGAGGCUGAAAUUUUCUGCUUGGUUCAUCAAGGAAGGUAAACAACGAUCAACUACCAAAAUCGUAGUUUAUGGAAGUUAUCUUGCACUUAUGAGUUCAUAGUUUCACAUGGGUAGCUUUAAAUUGUUGGAAAUCUUGUGAGUGGGCUCUAUGAAAUCCCACAAUGGCUUGAUGGACUGAUUUGGUGAGAUUUGAUGUUAUUAAUGUUGGAUUAGUUCUUAAUCUAGUGGAAUUAAGUGGUAUUGUGAAUGAAAGUUCAAAGGAAGUAAAAAGGAAAAUUUUAUCCGUUCUGCCCUUGCUAUUGCCGUGACCCUUAGUGCAAUUUUUCGUGGUUCAAUUGACUUGUUUAUGAUGUAUAUAUGUUGUGUGGGUUGUGUGGAAAGUCUCCACAAAAAAUUACGUGAUUUGAAUGGGUAAAUUUUGAGUUUUUGAAAAUUUGUCAAAGCUGGAAAUCGGUGUCUAGUGUACUCUGGCAGUGUUUUUGUUUUGGCCAUAAAUUUUUGUUCCGAUGUCAAAAUCGAAUGCCGUCAGUGGCAUUAUAAAUUAGACAUUUCCAGUUUUCCAGCAGUAUAAAGUUAAUUCCUAAUUCUACUUGAGUAAUCUGUACUAACCUUGUAAAGUUGCCUGUUCUGUUUCACAUUUGUACUGGAAGCCCUGUUAUGAGCUGCGACUUAAUACUCAAAUAUCAGUUAGUUGUAUAUAGAUAUUUAAAAUAAUUUCUUCUAAGAAAUUGUAGCCAUAUAAAUGGAGUUUCCAACGCCACCAACCAAGCUCAAUUCCAAGUUGUAUUGAGUGAGUUGUGGCCAAAAUUAGAAACUGACUCGAUGAUGAAAAACCCUCAUUUGGUUAGUUGGAUGCCUAAAUUUUGAUUGUGACUUGUUGUUUCGAAAUUCUUGGUGUUAACCACCUACCAAAUGUAUUUUGGAUGUUUCUUAGAAAAUGUCUGCACAAAUGAACCAUAUUUGAGAGGUUUUUGUUGGCCAAAUGUUUUGGAAAAGAAAACGGAACCACAAGACAGUUUGGUCAUGAAAGUUCUUAGAGAUUUAAUGAUCUUGUUAACCAACUUCCCGAAUGCGUUUUUGCAUGAAAAUUUAUAGAGGAAUAGACCUUAGAUGGUAGUGUAAUACUACUAACUUUGGUGGCAUUUCAAGUUCAUUUAGAUGCUCAACUAAAGUACCAAAGCUCAAGCUUUAAACCUGGAAAAUCCCUGUUUGAGGAGGAAAUUUCAGUGACUUUGAGCCACUAUAUCUUGGUGCUCAAAACUCCAAUUCUUGUUCCGCUUUUGUGUUGAAAACUUUAAAUGUAACUCUAAUUGAGUUCCAAAUUUCAGAGGCUAGUUCACAUUGUGUGAAUUUUGCCGAAUUUCCAAACUUUGCCAAAAAUCAACCCAAAUCUGUCUUGGCAUUCCAGAACAGCCACUUUGAGCUGAAUUUUGAACGUCAUCCAUUUGAAAUCAUGGAAAAGUGUCUUCUAUGAACUUUUAGUACUUUGGAAGUAGUUUCUAAUGGUACCAAGUUUUCCAAUUUUGGACUUACAGAGAGUGAGAUAUGAUUUUUCAAAAAAAAAAAUACUCCUAAAUUCAAUAAUUCUUGGCCGGAUUGUGACGUGGCUCUUCUAAGUCCUUCUUCAAUCGCUCGUUUAGAAAAUUAUUUACAUGAUUUCAUACCUACUUGCUUCCGUCCAAUGAUUUCAAAGAUGGAAAUUGAAUUCUCCUUGAAUAUUUAAGCCCCACUCUCGAGUCUCGAUUUUCGAGAAAUUAAGACUCGUUUUCGUGACAUUUUCUUAGAUUGUACAAGUGUGCAAUCUUUCUUGAUAAUUAGGGGUUUUGAGUGAUAUUGAGUGAUAUUUCAAUAUUAAUUGCUCAGGAACUCAAGGAGACCUUCAAGAGAAACUCAAAGCGGGUGCCUAAACACUUGUCUGAUCCCUUACUUGCUUGUUUUGAAUAGGUAAGUGUUCCAUAUAGAAGUAGGUAAUUUGAAUAGUUUAUGACAUGAUUAUGCCAUGGUCAUUACGUGUUAAGUGUUACUGCACUCGUUCUCAUUUAAGUGAAGUGUACUUGAAUUUCGUAACACAAAGUGCUUGAAUUGCUUAAAGUGACUCGUUAAGUGAAACGUUUAAGUAAUUAUUUAUGCUAUGGCUGCAUAAGUCGAUUGGAGUGAAUCUUCUCGACUUUUAAGUGGUAAAAGUAGGGACGGCUAAUGGGCGGCCUACGAAAAUGAUAAAUGUCUACCAAUUAACCGUUUACUGUUUAACGUUUAUCGUUUACCGUUAACUGUAAUUACUUAUCAUUUACUGAUCUACUUGAUUACCUGCUUACUUGAUCACCUGACUACUAGAUUAUGUGAUUACCGUAAAUUACAUGUUCAUAUGAAAUUACCGCAUAUUACUUACCUGUUUAAGUGUUAGGUGUUACUGAUAAUUGCUCAUAUGAAAUUGGCCACUAUUUUAAGCGUUAGGGUUAGGGUUCGAGACCAAGAGUGCUCGUAAAUAGUACUAGAUUGUUGUCUUUUGAAGACUUUAGGUUGUAUUAUAGUGAAUGGCUAUAGUACAUAUUCCGUUGGGUAAUAUUUAAGUUCGAAAGCUAACUAAUUGUAAGUGUGAGAUGUUUUGGAAUACUUUAAUUAUGUAUUAAAGUUAUUUGAAGUAUUUCGAACUUUUGAAUUAUGGAUUAUACCGAGUCCUGGUGAGAGUUGGACAGGCGUCCCGCCGAUACCCUUGGGAGAAGUGGGUGCGUCACAGAUCUUAGAUAAGGUUAGGGAUCUGGCUUACAGGUUGGCCUUGCCACCUUCAUUGUCACGUGUGCAUGAUGUAUUUAACGUAUCAUAGUUAAGAAGAUAUGUAACGGACCCAGGGCACGUGCUAAAAGACCAAUCGGAGAUAAUUAUGGAUUCAGACUUAAGUUAUAAAGAAUACCCCAAAAGAAUUGUGGACCAUAAAGAGCGGGUCAUGAGAAACAAGACAAUUCCCUUUGUAAAGGUGCAGUGAUCAAAUCAUGAUACAGGGGAAGCUACGUGGGCACUUGAGGAUGAGAUGAGGACAAGUUACCCCCAUCUGUUCGCAUAAGAUAUGUAAGUUUCGCGGACGAAACUCUGUGUAUGGGGGGUAGAAUACAAAAUCCCGUAAUUUUUCCUUCCUUAAAAAAAUUCUUGAAAUUAGAAAAUAAAUUUGUUUUAUUGAAUUAAAAGUCCAUCAGGCUUAAAAUUCGGGACUCAAUUGAUUUCUUUUGAAAUUCAUAGGAAGGGAAUCCGAACCUCAUUAGUUACGGUAUUUUGUGACUAUUUGGAAAUUUAUUUAUGAACAGGAUAAUUUGGAAUAGGUAGGAAGGAUGUACUUCAUAUAAAUAAUUUUGUGAAAAAAUAAUAAUAAUAAAUAAGGAGGGGUAGAUAGUCCAAUAAACAAAAUGGGUAACUAUGUUGCAAUAGCAGCCGUGUACACAUAUGUAUGUAUGUAUAUAUUAAGAAUUUUAUACCUGCCUUACUCCUAGUCCAAAUAUGGUUAGGCAUCCGAGAGAUAUGUAGGGAUAUAAGUUGUGAGGACUCGCAAAUUUCUUAUAUUUUUCUCAAAAAUACCCUUUUAUUUGAAAAUUAUUAUUUAUCAAAACCCACUACCCAAUUAUUUCACAAUAAGUGUAAGUAAACCUAGAAAAUAGGGUUUUACGCUUCGGUUUCAAGUUUGGAGCAAAAUUAGGGUUUUCGCGAUUUUUCGUCGGAUGAAUUUUCGGUACAGAUUAAGGAUUAAAUUUGAGGAUUAAAAGUGACUUUUAAGUGAGAAAUAAUAUGUGAUUGGUAGCAAUGAUAUAAGGUUAGUGAAUGGGAAGUAAAAACUCUAGUACGUGAGUUUUUAAGAAAAACGGCGCGAACCGGCGGGUCCCGCGCACUACCGAUUGAACGCACCACUUGACCACCAUUUUUCUCACCAAACAAAUUUAUUGAACUUGAGCAAAAUAUAUUCUCUCUUGGCAGCAAGCUUGACCGAAAUUGUGGCUCAUAUGCAAGGGAAAGAAAGAGAAAAAUUUUGUGGUCAAGAUUAGGCCAAGUGUUGGUCAAAAAUUGUGGUCACAAUUAGCUCUAAUCUUCUUGUCUUCCUAUAAGAUAACUAAGCUCCAUCUUCCCUCAUUUUUUUCUUGCUAAGUGCCGAGCUAAGGGAGAGAGAAAAGGAGAGCAAGAUAAACAAAAUUUCCUUCUUGAUUUGCUUCAUUCCAAGUAAGAAAUCCAAUUCUAAACCGAUUAAAGUACUAAGUGUGAGUUGGGAAGCUUGAAGAACCAAGAAAUAUCAAAGGGGGUGAAGGAUCACUCUACCAAGCCUUGCUUUUGAGGUACCAACAUUUGAUCAUGAUCUUUUUUGCUUUGAAUCUUGCUUUAAGAUGUGUUUUAGCUUAAGUUUUGGCUUGAUUUCAUGAUUAUGCAAGUGGGUGUGAUGAAUUUGGGAAUUUUCCCCUUUUUAUAUGAUGAACUAGGGCUUGAGGAAUUUCUGGCCAAUUUGUUGUAUGAUGCUUGUAUGUUGCAAUUAAGGUUGUAUAAGGUGUUUUGGUAGUGAUUAGAACAAGAAAAUUGAGAAAGUUCCAUUGUUUACAAAAAAUUCCAGAAUCCGGAAAAUUUUCCCCAACAUUCUGUCCGAAAUUAUAUCCUUAUGUUAGAGGCCGAAUUGGCCUUAGGUCAAAGAAGAAAAGUUGUAUAGAAUGGUAUUUUAUAGGUACCUACAAAAUUUCAGCUCAAUCGGAGCAACGUAGGACGUGAAACGUCCAAAAUACCCUUACUAUUUUAAGUAUUUCCCAAGCAGUCCGUGUGAUCAGUUAAGUCCAGUUUAUCACUUUUUUCGACUAGGGUCUAUUCUGAUUUAGCUUUUUGCCAAAACAUGAAAGUUGUAGUAUUCUGAAUUAGCUUUCAAAUGCCUCUAAGAACACCUGAUUCGGACUUGUGUACUCUGAGAUAUGUCCAUUACAGUGUUCUGCGUUUAAACAGCCGACGAAUUGGUUUCUGGUUUAGUAAUUUGAGAAUUUGACUAAGUUACAUUAGGAACUGGACUAAGUGACCUUCAUGAAUGUUGUAUCUCUGUGUCUUAGCUUCAAAACGGCAUAGGUUUCAUCUCAAUCCGAUAAGCGUAGCUUCGGAUAUGUUAUUUCCGCAUUCGUACGUCAAAUCUGUCUUGUGCUAAGUUGAAUUUCUGCACUUGUGAUUGUUGUAAUUCUUAUUCUUAUGAUAUUGUGAGCCUAUGGAACGGCUCUUGACUUGAAUUGCUUAUGUGUGAUGUUGGGUUGUGGUUGAGGAAAAAUAAUGAAGCCAAAAUGGCUGGAAAAUUAGGUAAACACAAAGGGCGUGCUGCCCAAAUUUUCGCUCGAGGGCUAGGUUUCUAUUGGAACUUGUAUACUUUUGUUUGGCCAAUACCAUGACCGGUUUUCCAUUUUAAAACAUGAUUUUUCAUCCUGGGGUUCAAACAACCCUCUUCUUACUUGAAAGUCAUCUUUACACGUUUUACUCCUAAUUAGUCGGGUUUCUUUGUUUCCCUUAAAUGUUUUGCUCGAUAAACUGUAAUAUGUUCUCUUGUUCAACCUUAGGUUUCAUUGGUGACUAAGGGUAAUAUCCGGAAGGAUAUUUUGCACGUUAUUUUGCAUAUCUAGGUGAGUGUUCCUUAUUUGACUUUAUGGCUUGUUGUUAUCAUUUGCUAAUGUGUUAAUUGCUUUUAAUGAUUUCCAAAACGAGCUUUCUAGGCGAGUGUGUACUUUAUCGCACUCGACCUAAAUAACUGUGCAAUUUUCAAGGAUUUAAUGAUUGAAAUGUUACUUGCGCAUGAAUGUAAGCCUUUUGGGCUGAACUGGCCAUUGCCCUUGUUACCGGUCGUCUCGAGCCAGAAGCGGACUCGGUCGGGCGAUUAGGGACUUGGGUGAACGUUUGGUAUACUCGAGUAUUACCCUGUAGGUUGGUGGAGACUGGCCAACGGCUAGGACGGGGGUGAAUGAACGAACGAACGAACGAGGGUUUAUUGAUAAACGAAAAAUGCAUUUUCAAAUGAUUGGAGGAAUAAGGGGAAAUGUCAGGAGAACGAAUGAACGAAUGAACGAAUUGCUCCUUGUGAGCCGUAUCCUUUUAAUGAAUGUUACUUCCAUUGUAAAUGUUUCUUGAAUUAUUGAUACUCCAUGUUUAAUGUAUUGAAUUGAUUGUUUGAUUAUGUGUUCGGAACCUCACUGGGCUUUGAGCUCAUUCCUUUAGUUUUGUUUUCCUUACAGGGGAAGGCGGGCGAGGACGUGAGCUUGAGAUAGACUAGGCCGUCUAGUUUUUGUUUCUUUUGUUUCUUUUGUUUCUUUUGUAAUGGUUCUCGCCUAGUGCUUGGCACGGGCUGAACGUAUGAAGGAUUGAGAACCCUUGUAUAUUUGAUGUUUAUACUCUCUUUUGGGUUGGCAAUGUAUAUAAGUUCCACUUGAAGUUUGGAUCAUUGCCCUAUUUAUUCUUGUGAUUUAUUUCGAUUUUAAUUGAGGACUGUAGCGAACGACUGAGUCCCGGUGAGAGCUGGGCAGGCGACCCGCCGAACCCUUUGGUACGCCUUAGGGGGAGGUGGGGUCGUCACAUAAGUAGCCAAGGAUAUGGGCCAAUAUUAGGAAUGAAUCAGGACUAGAACCAUAAUAUCAGUUCGGGUAAGGGAAAGGAAAUCUAGUUCAAAGGGGAUUGUGAUUAGGGUUUGUCUAUAUAAGUAUAACUAGGGUAAUGAGGAUGUGAGAGCCCGUAAUUUUCUUAAGUACUAGGUUUUAUUUUUUUUUCUUUUAAUUGCACGUUUUUCCACAUUUUAUUUAUUUGAAAAAUUGUGAAAAUAAUUUUUUAUGAGUAAAUAUAGUUAUUAGAUGAUUUUCUAGUAUUGGUUAGUUUUUGAGAAAUUAAGAGCGUAUACCGGACGUGGGACCCACUAGUGCGAUAAGUGUGGUAAAUGUGGUUCAUUUGGAGUAGCUUUGUAUACAUGGUUUAUAUUACAUGGUGUUAUGAGAUAAUUAGGGGUUUGGUUAGUUCAUUAAUUCUUGCAAGACAAAAGAAAUAAGAUAAGCUUGGAAUGGACACAUGUUACCUUGUGAUUGGAGCUUGGCAUUUGACUAGUCUUUCUCUACCUUUACUAAACCAAUUUUGACCAAAAUUUGUCUUUCAUUCUCACCUUCUUGGCCGGCCAACUCUAGAGAGCUCUUCAAUUUUUGCUUCCUUUUCUUGCCAAAAUCUUGUAAUCCAACCAUUUAUUUCUUAAAUUCCUCCAUAAAACUUACUUGCUAGGAGUGAUUGAAGUGCUUGGUGAUUUUUGUUUGGAGGGAGAGACUCUCAUCUACCUUGUAUCUAGUGUUUGUAUGGUAAGUGGUUAAGAAAUUGUUUCCUUGUUGGUUAUGAGGUUAAAUUAGUAGGUGUGGUAGUUGAACAAGUGAUUUUUUGGAUGAUUUCAUGACUUAUGGUGAAGAUUGAUGACAUUUUCUAUUUAAUCAUGAAUUUUCUGAUUGAAUAUGAUUCAUAUGUUGUGGCUUUGUAUGAUGAUUGGAAAUGAUAUUGAAGGAAGCUAGAAGGUGGAAAGUGUGGUUAAUUACAAGAAAUUUCUGUUUUGGAAGGAAAUGGGAAAGUUAGGGUUCAUUAUCUUACAUUCUGUCCGGUUUUAUUGUACCAUGUUAAAGGCCGAAUUGGCCUUAGCUUAAAACAUGAAAGUUGUAGGGAAUGAUAUUUUAGAGAUGCCUACAAAACUUCAGGUCAAUCGGAGUAGCGUAGCUUGAGAAAAGUCGAAAUUACCCUUGCUGUCCUGGUUUUACCCGAAUGUGAGAAUUGCAUCUGUAAUUGGUUGUUUUGGUUGGGAUUGCUUCGGAAUUAGUUGUUGAGGUCUUCUGAUGAAUUGUAUCCCUGUUUCUUAGCUUUCAGAUGGCUUUGGAAUUUCUAGAUUUGAACUUAGGUAGCCUGUUUUAUGAUGUUUGCACCAGAAUGCGAUUUGUGAAUCUAUUUUUCCGGUUCUGGUGUAGUAUCUUGCAUUUUUGACCUGGUUACACUCGAUACUGGAUAGAGUUGCCUUCUGGAACAUUGUAGCCCUAUCUCUUAGCUUCGAAACGGUGGGUCUUGUACCUUCAUCCGAUAAUCAUAGUGCCUUUGGUACCAAAACCGCAAAAUGAUGUCAAAAACUGUUUUUUUCAGGGUUAAAGCUUAACUCCAUUUCUGGAUUUUCUGGUUUCCUCUAAUGCUUAUGUAUGCUUAUGGAACCCUCUUUCGGUAGUAUUUGGCAUUGGUUUAUGACUUGUAAUCGAGUCUUAUUGUGCUUAUUGGAAUAUUUUAGGGCUUAACUUUCAUUUUCGGUCAUUUUCCUAGCUAAAUUCUGUACUUGAAUGACUUUAAGCCUAGUGAACGGCUUUUGGAAAUGAGAUUAUUUUGUGUGAGAUGUUGGGACUGAUUUGAGGAAAUAAUGAAGCCAUUAAUGGCUGGAAAAUAGAUAAACAUAAGGGAUUUGCUGCCGAAAUUUUACUUGAAGGCUAGUUGGAUUCCGACUUGUCUUUGGUCCAAUUACUUUUUGCCGCAAAAUUUUAUAACCCUUUUUAGUUUAGUUUUGCGUUUGGUUUGUGAAACCCUAAAUAUUUCCGUCCAUCAGUCCAAAUGCCCCAUUUCGCUUUAAAAUCAUUUUUAUGCGUUUUACUCAUCAUUUAUUGGGUUUCUUCGAUUUCACCUAAUUGGUUGCGCUAUAUUCUUUCUCGUUGAAUCUUAGGUUUUCUCGGUGAUUAAGGAUACUAUCCAGAAGGAUAUUUUGCACGUUAUUUUGCAUAAUUAGGUGAGUGGUCCUUGUUUGUUGUAUUUUCUUGACUUCAUGACUUGUAUUAUUGGUUGAUAACGUGUUAAGGGCUUUCAAUGAUUAGCCAAAACGAGUUUUCUAGGCGAGUGUGUACUUUAUCGCGCUCAGUCUAAAUGAUUGUGAAAAUUUCAAUGAUUAAACGAUUGAAAUGUUACUUGUACAUGAAUGUAAGCCUUUUGGCCGAACUGGCCACUGCCCCUUGUUACCGAUCAACUCGAGCCAGAAGCGGACUUGGUCGGGCGAUAUGGUGACUUGGGUGAACGUUUGGUAUACUCGAGUAUUACCUUGUAGGUUGGUGGAGCCUGGCCAGUUUCCAGGAGGGGGUGAAUGAAAUGAACGAACGAACCAGGGUUUAUUUACAAAAAUAAAAUUUUCAAAUGAUUGGAGGAAUAAGGGGAAAUGUCAGGAGAACGAAUGGAUGAUCGAAUGAAUUGCUCCUUGUGAGCCGUAUCCUUUUAAUGUAUGUGUUCUUAUUGCUUUCCAUGCUAAAUGUUUCUUGAAUUAUUGAUUAUUGAUGGCCAAUGUAUUGGCUUUGUUGUUUAAUUACAUGUUCGGAACCUCACUGAGCUUUUAGCUCAUCCCUUUAGUUUUGUUUUCCUUAUAAGGGGAAGACGAGCAAGGGCGAGAGCUUUGUACCGACUGGCUGGGUCUAGUUUUGGUUCUCGCCCUAGUGCUUGGCACGGGUUGGUUGCAUGGUGACUUGAGAACUUUUGUAUUCUUGAAGUGUGGCGCCCCACAUCUCCCUAAGGCGGACCAAAGGGUAUCCGCGGACGCCUGCCCAGCUCUCGCCAGGACUCAAGCAAUUUCAUUCAAUUUAAAUCCGAACUAAACACAUCGAAGAGAACAACAUGAACACAAAUAAUGCGGAAGCGUUCAAGCAUAGAAUCAUCCAUUACUCCACCCAUAGAUAGGGCGUUCAAGAUACAACUUAAAUCCAAAAUAUACGUCAGGCCCAAAAGUUACACUUCAAUUCCAAAAGUACAAUCCCCACAAGGACAUAGCCACUAACAAUAGCAAACCUUAAAACAAAAGUACAGCGAAGGGUUUUCUCCAAACUUUUCCAAGAUUCGGUCCUGUUAAGGAAAACAAAACUAUAGGGUGAGCAAAACGCUCGUGAGGCCAAGAACACACAUGCAAGCACUUUGUCAAAUAACAAUCCCAAAUUUAAUAAAUAAAUAAAACCAUGUCUUUCCAAUAAUCAAUCAUUCAAACAGGAAAAGUAAUCAGAAACAAUUCAAGGAUAUAGUAGCUCUCAGGAGCUAAGUUCCACUCGCUCUGCCGAUGUCAUUCGUAUACCUUCCCGCGUUGACCCUCCUGUCAUCCGGGUCGGUAUUUCCAUUUCCGUAGAUCACCACUUACUUCCCUCCGUCCACCGUACACCUCAAGGGCCCACAAGUCAUUUAUAAGGCGAUACUUCACGAGUAUGCCAAGCAAGACCUCUCAUUAGGUCGAGCUUAUAUAUAUCUCAUGGCUCGCCCCAGUCCCCGACCAAGCCCAUUGCCGGCUCGAGUCCAAGGUCGGCCUAUGAGUUUGGGCGUCCUCUAUUCAUUUAAAAGUCGAGGAGGUUCACUCCAUCGACGUAUGUAUUCAUAACAUACCAUUGCAUUUCAGUCAUUCAUUUAAUACAUUACAAUCAUUUAAUACAUUUCAAUAAUUCAUUUGAAAUUAGAACAAGUUCGAUAAAGUACGCACCCGCCCUUAUUUUCUUAAAAUUCCAACAAUUACCACAAAUAAAUAUGUAUCAAAAUUCACACACUUGACACUCACCGAGCAAUUCAAUAAGAAUUAUUUUCUGGGAGUUCAAGUGUCCACUGUGAGAUCCUCUUGAAGGUCUCCUUGUGCGCCUGGCAAUUAAUAGUGGAUAAUCACACAAUUAACCCACUUAUCAAGAAGAUUGUACACUAGUACAAUCUAAGGAUUAUUUCGCAAAAGGAACCUCAAUUACACGUAAAUCGAGGUUCAACUUGCCUUUUAUUAUGUACAAUAUUAUUUGAGUUUUUAUCAUGAAAAUCGAGGGCAAAACGUUUAAGAAUAUCAAAAGGAUAAAGAGUUCUUGAAAAACUCUAUUCCUUUGAAAUUGGAAAAUUUUCAGUUUUAUUAUGAAUCUUUGAAAAAUCGUAACUCGCUCGGCAUAAGUCGAGAAUUGGAAAACUUGAUACCGUUGGAAACCUCUUAGAAAGUACUAUAAGUUCCUAGAAGACACUUUUCCAUGAAUCGAAGUGGAAAGUGUUCAAAAAUGAGCUUGAAGAUGCAGGGUUGGUUUACAAGGCAGAAUUAAGUUGGAUUUUGGCCAACUUUGAAAAUUCGGCACGAUUCACACGUUGCAAACCAGCCUCUGAAAUUUGUCACUCAAGUAGUGUUGCAAGUGAGGUGUAUAACAAAACAAGCGGAUCAAGAAUCGGAGUUUCGAGUACCGAGAUACGGUAGCCCGAAGUUAGGGAAAUUCAAGACUGGAGAAGAAUUUCCAGAUUUGAACCUCCAACACGAGGAAUUUAAUUGGGUAUCGAAACGAACUUGGAUUGGUACCAAAAUUUGCAGUAUUUUACUCCCAUAUGAAAGGUACCACUCUAUCAAAUUUCAGGGAAAAAUACCUUCGGAAAGAUAGUUAAUUAGUCAACCAAAGUUCAGGAAAAAUUGUAAGGCAAUCUGCCUUUAAACUUUCAUUACCCAUUUCAAAACGUUUAAUCAAGCAAACUAUCCAAUCAUGGUUCAUUUGUGAAAUAAAGGCCUAAGAAACAUCCAUAAUGCCUUUGGUAAGUGUUUAGUAUCAAGAACAUCAGUUAACAAGUUCACUCCAAGAUCUUGUUCCAAACCAGUCCAAACAUUAGGGUUUUUCCAAAACAGGGCAGUCAUUUUGUUUUGGUCACAAUUCAGUCAAUUUAACUUGGAAUCGAGCAUGGCUUACGCCGUUGGAAAAUACAUUCAUAGGGGUAAAAUAUCACAGAGGAAAUCGUUUCCAAAUUCGGCACCCAUCUGGUUCAAAAUCGGGCAUCAAGUUGCUGCCUGAACACUUCAUUCCAGAUGAACAGAGCAACAGGACAGCGAACUUAAAACAUUUGGUUCGGCUUGCUCACAAAGCAUCAGAACGUGAAUUAUAUACCAAAUUAAAGCCAGGAAUGUCUAGUUUCAAACGCCACCAACAGCACAUGAUUUUGACAUCCGAGGACAGAGUUAUAGCCGAAAUACUACCACUGGUCAGAGUCAUACGCGAACAGUUUUCCAGAUUUGCUAGUUUCUCAAAACAAAUUCAUUUGCUCAAUCAAACCUCAAUAUUUUCCAAUGAAAUUUUUCACACAUCUAAUACAUCCUAUAAACAUCCAAUUCAAGCCAUUAGAUCAUUAAAAAUUGGCCUUGUAAUGGCCGAACAUGGCUGGGGUAAAAUUGGAAAUUUUUGCUUCUUACACCCAAUGAAGUUUCUACUAAUUACCCACCACUAGUGCAUCAUUUUAACCACUAAACCAACAACAUAACCACCAUCAAUCAUCAAAUCAGCAACAACAACCCAAGUGUGGGAAUUCAAAGAGCCCACUAUCACAUUUUUACACCAUACACAAGCUAACCAAAAGCAUGCAUGAACUUAACAAGGUAAGAUAGCUUCCAAAUUUCAAGUUUCCAAGAGUGGAUCAUCACUUACUUUGGUUUGGUGUUCAAGCAGAAUCUUCGGCCCUCUAUUGCCCUAGAAAAAUCGUGAUUUCCAGCCCUUGUUUGCAGCUCAAAAUGCUCCUCGAGUAUCAAGCUAAGUGUGGUGCAAGUUUGGUUGAAUUUGGAGAUGAUUUGGGGUGGUUUUGAGUGAGAUUUGUGAGCUGAAAAUUUGAAGUAAUGGAGUUAGAGAGAGGAGGGUGUUGGCCGGCUGUCUUGAGAGGAAGAGAGAGGGUGAUCAGAUUUUUCUUAAGCUUCCAAGGGAAGAUACUAACUUGUGGCCACAAAUCACCCAUUAGUCAACUCUCAUUAGGGCUCGUUUGGCACGUUUUUGGCUCGAUUUUCUCGCGCAUUUGGUUCACUAGUGCACUAAACCUCUAAUGCAUAUAUAUUCAUGUAAAUAUUCUUCACUCUUAAUUGUCCUGAAAUAAGGGUCUAAAGUCCCUCAAAUGAAGUCGCCCGUGUGAAAACGCGUACCGUCAAAUUUAACGUUAUAACGCGAAACUUCCGAGAAAUUCUUAUAACGAUUGCACUAUUAACUAUCACUUGAGUUUUUAAUCGUAAGAUUACCUAUUUUAGCACCAUAGUACAAGUCUCCAAUAUUCCAAGCUUAUUGUGCUACUACGCGGAUAAAAUCUCCAAGUACUAUUCACUAUUUUUACUAAACGCGCUCCAAGAAAUUAAUUUUCGAAACGAAUCAUUUUAAAAAUAUAACGAAAUUAUAUUACCAUGUAUUUAGGUCUAAUAAGACUAGAAAAUAUUCCUUGGAAAUAAAAUCCAAUUCAAUAAUUUAUUAAGCCAUAAUUAAGCAUAAAAUAAUAGUUUUUAUGAGUUCUCACACGAAGGUUGUACUUCUUUCUGAGAUAGUAAUGUAUAUAAGUUUUGUUUUAAGUUUUGGACCCUCAUUUUGCUCUUUCUUGUGGUUCUAUUUCUGAUUUGUGUGAGUGAACGACUGAGUCCCGGCGAGAGCUGGGCAGGCGGUCCGCUGAACCCUCUGGUUCGCCUAAGGGGGAAGUGGGGCUGUCACAGGUGGUAUCAGAGCUUAGGCUUCCGAUCUCUGUAGUGUAUCCUAGGCUAAAGUUUAGGAUGCCGGACUGUGGGAUUUGAUUUGAUUUGAAAGUUAAGCAAUUGAGAGAUAAAAGCUAUAGCUGCUUCGUAUUAAGUGCUCGUUCGAGCGUAAGCUAUGAAUUGCAAAUGUUAUAGGCCUUAAAUCUCUUCCGUGGUAUCUGAGGAUCAUAGAUAGGUACGUCGGGUAGGAAUUUCGAUUGUGGAUGAUUUACUCUUGGGACUGGCCAACUCGAGAGGUGAAUUGUCUUAUUUCGGAUUCUUGUGCCCGAGUACUCCAGAGUUGAGGCGGUGUUAAGUAUGUGGGAUUUGCACUUUGGGAACCUGAACAGGUUUUGUUUGGCUAGAAUAAGACAGGAGGUCAAGGGACAACUAGGUUAGUUGAUAAGUGACGUGAGAGACCGGACGGGGUUAUUUGACUGCGACCGGGAUGAUAUCGCCUUUACUUUUGAUUUGCUCUUAUACCGUUAUGACAUGACAUUGGUUUGAGUAUUUGUGCAUAUGAUUAUUUGUCUAAUUUGACAUGUAUUGGUGUAUUUGAUUGUCUACCAUCUUGAUACAUGGUGUGUAUAUGUGUAUAUGUCUUUGGUGUUAUUGGUGUGCUAGAAUUCGAUUACUUUUGUCACUGUACUGUAUUUAUUCACUGAAUUACCUUUUUGGGAAAAAAAAUAGAGGGAAAAAAAACAUAUAUAUGGAGGGAAGACGUAGUCGCGGACGUGGUAGUGGCCGUGGUGCUGAGCGAGCCCAGGGACCAAGGGCGGAAAGGGAAACAUCGGCCGAGCCUGUACCAGGACCAAGGGUUGAAGCUGAAGACCAGGUGGCGACGGCCAUUCAACAAUGACCAAUAUUCUAGUACGGUUGGUGGACCAACAAGGUCAAAUGCCUGUGCAUCAACUCCAAAACCCUGGAAUAGGAGAAGAUCGGGCCCUUGAGAGGUUUCAAAAGUUUGCACCUCCAAAAUUCGCUGGAUGGCCUGAUCCGGACAUCGCUGAACAGUGGUUAGAGGCCAGGGUGAAUAUAUUCACAGCUUUGAACUACACUGAACAGAGACAAGUGAACUUUGCAGUGUUUCAAUUUGAAGGACCGGCCCGGGCAUGGUGGAACGUAAUUAGAGCAAAGUGGGAAAGAGAACGGACUGUAUGGACGUGGGCAAACAGUUCAUACAGGGAUUGAACUUGGACAUCCAGGAGGCGUUAGCGGCGGCGCAAGUGAAUACCUUUACGGAGGCUCUGGAUAAAGCCCAACGAAUUGAGAAUGCCAAAGCACAGAUAAAGGCCUCUCAAAAUCGAAAAAGGGGUACACCUGGUAGUGUGACUGGGGAACCAAGUGAAUCGAUAGUCCCUUCCAAAGUACAGAAAGUGAACCUUUUGUCCCAUCCACCAUGGACAAUAGGAGCAUUAGAUGAACGAUCUACAAAAGGAAGUCAAGCAGGCUAUUAUCAAAAAAGCCAACAAGUGGCUUCUUCCUUGACUUGUGGCUACUGUGGAAAAGCCAAUCACACUGAGAGUGAUUGUUGGAGGAAAGGGCGGAAGUGUUUGAUUUUCGGAAGUGGUGACCACCAGGUUAGCAGCUGUCCGAGGAAACAGUCACGUGAAAGUGGUCCUCAGUGACUAGAGGGCACUACAUUAAAACAAGCGAAUGAAAGAGGGAACCGAACAAAAGUACCGGCAAGGGUAUAUGCUUUAGACAACCAACAAGCUCCUGAACCAUCUGAAGGUAAAAUUUCGAGGACAAAAUUUCCUUAAGGGGGGAGAGAGUGUGAGAGCCCGUAAUUUUCUUAAGUACUAGGUUUUAUUUUUUUUCUUUUAAUUGCACAUUUUUCCACAUUUUAUUUAUUUGAAAAAUUGUGAAAAUAAUUUUUUAUGAGUAAAUAUAGUUUUUAGAUGAUUUUCUAGUAUUGGUUAGUUUUUGAGAAAUUAAGAGUGUAUACCGGACGUGGGACCCACUAGUGCGAUAAGUGUGGUAAAUAUGGUUCAUUUGGAGUAGCUUUGUAUACAUGGUUUAUAUUACAUGGUGUUAUGAGAUAAUUAGGGGUUUGGUUAGUUCAUUAAUUCUUGCAAGACAAAAGAAAUAAAGAUAAGUUUGGAAUGGACACAUGUUGCCUUGUGAUUGGAGCUUGGCAUUUGACUAGUCUUUCUCUACCUUUACUAAACCAAUUUUGACCAAAAUUUGUCUUUCAUUUUCACCUUCUUGGCCGGCCAACUCUAGAGAGAAAAGAAAGAGAGCUCUUCAAUUUUUGCUUCCUUUUCCUGCCAAAAUCUUGUAAUCCAAUCAUUUAUUUCUUAAAUUCCUCCAUAAAACUUACUUGCUAGGAGUGAUUGAAGUGCUUGGUGGUUUUUGUUUGGAGGGAGAGACUCUAAUCUACCUUGUAUCUAGUGUUUGUAAGGUAAGUGGUUAAGAAAUUGUUUCCUUGUUGGUUAUGAGGUGAAAUUAGUAGGUGUGGUAGUUGAACAAGUGAUUUUUUGGAUGAUUUCAUGACUUAUGGUGAAGAUUGAUGACAUUUUCUAUUUAAUCAUGAAUUUUCUGAUUUAAUAUGAUUCAUAUGUUGUGACUUUGUAUGAUGAUUGGAAAUGAUAUUGAAGGAAGCUAGAAGGUGGAAAGUGUGGUUAAUUACAAGAAAUUUCUGUUUUGGAGGGAAAUGGGAAAGUUAGGGUUCAUUAUCUUACAUUCUGUCCGGUUUUAUUGAACCAUGUUAGAGGCUGAAUUGGCCUUGGCUUAAAACAUGAAAGUUGUAGGGAAUGAUAUUUUAGAGAUGACUACAAAAUUUCAGGUCAAUCGAAGUAGCGUAGCUUGAGAAAAGGCGAAAUUACCCUUGCUGUCCUGGUUUUACCUGAAUGUGAGAAUUGCGUCUGUAAUUGGUUGUUUUGGUUGGGAUUGCUUCGGAAUUAGUUGUUGAGGUCUUCUGAUGAAUUGUAUCCCUGUUUCUUAUCUUUCGGAUGGCUUUGGAAUUUCUAGAUUUGGACUUAGGUAGCCUGUUUUAUGAUGUUUGCACCAGAAUGCAAUUUGUGAAUCUGUUUUUCCGGUUCUGGUGUAGUAUCUUGCAUAUUUGACCUGGUUACACUCGAACCUGGACAGAGUUGCCUUCUGGAACAUUGUAGCCCUAUCUCUUAGCUUCAAAACGGUGGGUCUUGUACCUUCAUCCGAUAAUCGUAGUGCCUUUGGUACCAAAACCGCAAAAUGAUGUCAAAAACUGUUUUUUUCAGGGUUAAAGCUUAACUCCAUUUCUGGAUUUUCUGGUUUCCUCUAAUGCUUAUGUAUGCUUGUGGAACCCUCUUUCGGUAGUAUUUGGCAUUGGUUUAUGACUUGUAAUCGAGUCUUAUUGUGCUUAUUGGAAUAUUUUAGGGCUUGACUUUCAUUUCCGGUCAUUUUCCUAGCUAAAUUCUGUACUUGAAUGACUUUAAGCCUAGUGAACGGCUUUUGGAAAUGAGAUUAUUUUGUGUGAGAUGUUGGGACUGAUUUGAGGAAAUAAUGAAGCCAUUAAUGGCUGGAAAAUAGGUAAACACAAGGGAUUUGCUGCCGAAAUUUUACUUGAAGGCUAGUUGGAUUCCGACUUGUCUUUGGUCCAAGUACUUUUUGCCGCAAAAUUUUAUAACCCUUUUUAGUUUAGUUUUGCGUUUGGUUUGUGAAACCCUAGAUAUUUCCGUCCAUCAGUCCAAAUGCCCCGUUUCGCUUUAAAAUCAUUUUUAUGUGUUUUACUCAUCAUUUAUUGGGUUUCUUUGAUUUCACCUAAUUGGUUGCGCUAUAUUCUUUCUCGUUGAAUCUUAGGUUUUCUCAGUGAUUAAGGAUACUAUCCAGAAGGAUAUUUUGCACGUUAUUUUGCAUAAUUAGGUGAGUGUUCCUUGUUUGUUGUAUUUUCUUGACUUCAUGACUUGUAUUAUUGGUUGAUAACGUGUUAAGUGCUUUCAAUGAUUAGCCAAAACGAGUUUUCUAGGCGAGUGUGUACUUUAUCGCGCUCAGCCUAAAUGAUUGUGAAAAUUUUAAUGAUUAAACGAUUGAAAUGUUACUUGUGCAUGAAUGUAAGUCUUUUGGCUGAACUGGCCACUGCCCCUUGUUACCGAUCGACUCGAGCCAGAAGCGGACUCGGUCGGGCGAUAUGGUGACCUGGGUGAACGUUUGGUAUACUCGAGUAUUAUCUUGUAGGUUGGUGGAGCCUGGUCAAUUUCCAGGUGGGGGUGAAUGAAAUGAAUGAAUGAACGAACGAACGAGGGUUUAUUUACAAAAAUGAAAUUUUCAAAUAAUUGGAGGAAUAAGGGGAAAUGUCAGGAGAACGAAUGGAUGAUCGAAUGAAUUGCUCCCUGUGAGCCGUAUCCUUUUAAUGUAUGUGUUCUUAUUGCUUUCCAUGCUAAAUGUUUCUUGAAUUAUUGAUUAUUGAUGGCCAAUGUAUUGGCUUUGUUAUUUAAUUACAUGUUCGGAACCUCACUGAGCUUUUAGCUCAUCCCUUUAGUUUUGUUUUCCUUAUCAGGGGAAGGCGAGCAAGGGCUAGAGCUCUGUACCGACUGGCUGGGUCUAGUUUUGGUUCUCGCCCUAGUGCUUGGCACGGGCUGGUUGCAUGGUGACUUGAGAACUUUUGUAUUCUCGAAGGUUGUACUUCUUUCUGAGAUAGUAAUGUAUAUAAGUUUUGUUUUAAGUUUUGGACCCUCGUUUUGCUCUUUCUUGUGGUUCUAUUUCUGAUUUGUGUGAGUGAACGACUGAGUCCCGGCGAGAGCUGGGCAGGCGGUCCGCUGAACCCUCUGGUUCGCCUAAGGGGGAAGUGGGGCUGUCACAGAGGAGCCGUUCUUCUUGCAUUUUUUUCAGCAACCAACAGUGAGGAAAAUGGAGUGAGAGAGACGGCUGGGGUUCAAGAAAACUUGGGAACAAAGGAGGUGCACAUACCAUGAGGCUACGCGAGUGUUGAAGAGGUAAAACACUUGUCUCAUGAACUUAGUAAAUAACUACGUGAUUUGAGUACUUUGUUGGAGGAAGAAAAUGUGUGGACUGUGAGUCUCAUUCCAGCUAUCAUGACUUGUGAUUUACUACGUGGUUGUAAGGGGUUAAACUAAAAAGGUUUGAGCAUUUAAACUAAAAAGGAAUAGCCUACAGGUUUUGACAGAUUAUAGUGGCAAAAGUAUGGAAUCUGUUCGUGGCGUUAGAGGCUUAGGUUUUUUAUGAAAUUUUGAUAUGUUAUGGGCCUAUUUGUGUAGGGUUUGUGUAUAAAAGUUUACACCAAAAUUCGAAGUUUAGGAGGGUCUUUCGAUUUCUAAAUCAGAACUGGUCGUGCGUUGGCAGCUUUUGCAUGAGGUUGAGUUGUAUGUCAAUAAAACGUUUUCUUAAGCAUAAUUUUUGCAAGAAUCUUGAACCAGAAACCUCCUAACAUGUAAAAGAUCAGAUUUUAAAAGUUUGGGUAACUUUUGAAAAGGGUUUUUUGAGUUUUCUCCAAGUGGGAAGAAGAAAAAAAAAUAAACUGGUUUCCUAAUCUGUCAGGUUUCGUAGCAGAUUUGGAAACUUGAUUCUUGUGGGUUUAAGCAAUGAAUUGAAGGCAAUCUUCACCCAAGAUUUGACCAUAUAUUUGGGGUAUUACUUGUCAAGAACAUUCUGGAUGUUGGGGAUAUAAAACCCAGUUCUUAAAGAUCAUUUUUGCAAGGGUUCAGUGGUGAGUUCAAAUCUGUCAAAAGAAUUGGAUUGUUAAAUCUAAUGAGUUAUUGCUUUGGAACUUGGAAAGAGCACUAAAACUUUAACUUUAGGAAGAUUAAUAUCAGGUAAAGGCUGGUUUAAACAUCAUGAGUAAUAAGGAAGAGAUUUUAAUUGUUUAACUUAAAGAUUAGAAAUUCUUCCAGAGAUAGAUUAUGAACAGAAAAUCUGGAUGAUGAGCAAAUUUUGCCAAGGCAAAUGAGCAAAUCUAGGGAAGUAGUCUUCAUGGAAGUGGUAGGAUUUCGAGUCUAGUUUACGGAGGUGUCUUUAGUUUCUAGUUACAAUGCGUAUACCUGAAGUUAGGACCAAGACAAUAGCAACUGGUUGAAUCUGGAAUUUUUUUCAUAAGACGAAAUAGAAGCUAUAAGUAUCAUGGAAUGAGACCAAUUCAGUCCGCACGAAUUAAGAGUGUUUAUUUAUGGACAGUUGGAUGAUACUUUUGUAUAUUAUUAGGGUCACACAUAAGGGCUAGCUCAAGGGGUGGAAGAGUAAAAGAAGUUAGUCGGAGUUGAGGUGAGUACUUCACACUAUCCUUGUAGUUGUUACAACAAACAUUUUAUGAAUUGGGACAUUACUUUACUAUAUAAAAAUUCGGAUCAUAUAUACUAUUUUGAAUGGAAUUUUUAUCAUGAUAUGCUUGUUAUUGAAUAUGUUUACGAAAUAAAAUGUACUAAUGUAAUGGACCCACUUAAUUAUGAUCAUGACUACACUCGGCAGGACCAGGCCCACCUACUAUAAUUAUGAAUUCGAAUUCGAACCAUGACCUUUCCCUAGUAGGGGUUAAACACUAGACUGUGUACACAGAGACCAAUGAAGGCAUGAUCCUCUAAUUAAGUUAAAGCUUUUAUUUGGUGAUUGUUAUGAAUUUGAAUUUGAUGCAUAACUGUGUUGGCAAAUUUGCAUACGACUCUAUGGUCCUUUUGUAACAGUUGGAGCUAUGAAUAUGAAGUAUGAAUUGUGUUAUGUGAGUGCUAAAUUAUAUGUAUAUGUAACGUGUAUGAUCCGAUAGGGACAGUAGGUAGUACUUGCUGAGCUUGCAAAAGCUCACCCCCUUUCUCACCCCAUUUUGCAGACAAUGAUGGAGAAUAUGAGUUAGUGUUCGUGGAAGAAGAGGAAGAAUAGAUGGUCAAUGGUUGGAGGUUGAUAUAGUGGUCAAGCUCAUAAGUUUAGCAGCAAGGAUUUAUCAUUAUUGUUUAUUUUCAUUUUCUAGUCAUGACUGAGGGAUUCUAAUGUGUGGCACUUGUCCAUGGGUGGACAAGUUUGACUUUUAUUUUCAUGAUACGUUUACUCCUUAUGCUAGUUGAUGUUGAGCGUGGUUCUAUUGGAUCUUUUCUUUUUUAUUUUUUGUAAAAGCAUCUAUCCCAAGUAUUGUUUGCAAGGUUGAGUAGUAAAGUAAGAUGCCUUGUGAGACUUUAGGGGGGUAUACUCCUUGAGUUUCACGGCGUGUUGCAUUCCAAAUUAGGUGGUCGAUUUGUGCCAUGACAGUAUCACUGAUUGAUACAAAUACAUCUAAGAUAUUAGGUAAAUAACUACAAAUACUAAUUAAAUGAUGAAAAUUCACCCUAACUAAGAAUUAUAAGUUAAAUAAUAUCAAUAUAGAUGAAGGACACAAGAACAUGGGGUCCUUGUUCUGUAUUAAACUCUCCUACUUAAAAAGAACUCAUUCCUGAAUUCCAUGUACAAGUUUGACACAUGAGCCAUAUGAAGAAAGCAGCCACAAUUCUUUUGGGAAUCCUAUAGCGACGAUGCCAUCACAAUCUGAGAACCCAAUUAUAAGCAUAGGAAGUUGCAUAAAAAUUUGAGAAAAUCUCAAAACCCACAAUAUCAGUUUCCUCUAUUCUCCAAACAAAUUUUAUGAUUUUUUUCCUAUUUCAAAAGGAACUCAACUUUCUCAAUCAUCACAGGAAAAUUGUCAAUAGAAGAAAAUUUGUUAUCAAUAAAAAUUCUCAUGAUCUGGGACAACAACUAGCUCUACAAAUUUAAAUGGCACCUUAUACGGUGGUAAUAGAUUUGUUGGUGACAAAUCUUGGGAAAUUUCAUCAAUCACCAAAUCGUCAAGUUAUUGAGCUCCACGAUCGAAGAAUUAAGAACACCGACAUCUGUUGUUAAAGAGUUAAAAUUACUUUCAGAUUUCAAAAUCACAGUUGCAUCUACAGAUUUACUAGAUACCAAAUCUUGUUAGAGUUCUGUGACGACCCCACCUCCUCCUAGGGCUUAUCCUAGCGUUUAGCAGACCGUCUGCCCAGUUCUCGCUAGGACUCACACACUCACUUCAAGAAAAUAGGUUGUAACCUCAAGAGUAAAAGAAAUAACUGUUUCCAAAUUUAGAACAUACAAAAACAUUUAAUUUUAUUUCAAUCAUCCAUACAAUCCCAAAUAUAUCAAAAAAUUGAAGUUCUAAGUACAUUCAACCUAAUUGAGCGAUUAGUACGAGUACAGUCGCAAAAUUUUCAAAAACUAGACUAUGUUAGUUUGCACCAGUCUCACACCUCACUCGUACCCCCUGUAAAGAAAACAAAUCUAAUAUAGUGAGCUAAAACUCAGUGAGGUUCCAAAUAGCAAGUUGACCAUUAAUUAAAAGUGAAAGUAUCAAAAUAGCAAAGUAGCGAGCAUAUCGAGUCAAGAAAAUAAGUAAUAACACUUCGUAAUGCCAAUCGCUGGAUAUUGAACAUGUCAAGUAAAAGGAUACAGCUGCUAUUACAAAAUAGCUCCGCCAUAGCUUGAUCAAAAAGUAGUUGACACUCCGUCAACUUUCAAGUAAAGUAAUUAGUCCAGUAGUGCCCCACUUAACACCAAUCUCUGUCCACCAUUCACCCUUACUGGGCCCGAACGUUUAGAUAAACACGUGUGAUAAUACUCGAGUAUACCGAUUAGUCGAGAAAAUAUCACUCCACUCGACAACACUAGAUACCCAGGAUUCGUUAUCUAAUCGACCAGACUCUUGCCGGCUCGACUCGAUUAACUAGCUACAGGAUUUUUGGAAUUCCAAACAAGAUACGAAUCAUAUAUCAAGUCAAUUGCAACCAAUGAAUAAGAAUAUAUCACAUUAGGGCAAAUGGGAUAAAGUACACCCUUGCCCGACCAAACCAAUUAAAUAUCAUCCGAUCACAUUGGUCAAGCAUUUAAAACAAGUAUCAAGUUCAAUCAGGUAUUUGGAAGCACUCACCAAAAACUUAGUGCUUCUUAGGAUCACGUUCAGGUACAACUCCUUGUUUGGAGUCGAAAUCUGCGAUAAAACAUCAUUUAAAAGUUUGAAAUCAACUAGGGUUCGAAACUUAAGAGUUUCGCUUAAAGAAAAUCAAGUAAUUGAAACUCAUUUAGUUAGUAUUCAUGUUACUUAUCAAACUCUAGAAAAUUCAUGCUCGCUCUUUUGGUGUUGCUAAAAAAACAAUUUAAAACUUUGAAAUUUGCAUUUGAGUCUAAAAGACGAGGAAAACACAUUUCUAUUGGUCGCUACCUUUACCUUUGAAAGGGCACGAGUUUUGGCCAAAUUUAGCUCAUAUACCUCUACUAACGGUAACUUGACUACUAUAGACAAUCCAAGUUCACUUCGACUUCAAAUCGUCACUCGAGUCUCAAGUUCACUCAUCUAACCCUUGAGCGAAAAUUUGGGCGGCAUGCCCUUUGUAUUUCGUUAUUUUCCAGCCAUUUAUGGCUUCAUUAUUUUCCUCAACUCAGCCCAAAUUCAACACAUAAGCAAGCUUAACAAAAUAGCUCUUCAAUUAGGCACAAUAUCAUCCAAAUACAAGUCAAUUCUAGCAAUGCAAUCAUCAAGACCAAAGCUGGAAACUAGUAUUAAAGAAGAAUGCCUAAGUGGCAGAUUUGUCAUCCUUCGGUUUUUUGGUCAUAACUGAAGCUAGGUCUAUCGGAUCGCGGUAAAUUUUAUGGUGUUUCAAAGUUAAUACAUAGAACUACAUUUCCUAUGAAGACAUAAAUACCAGUUCUCGCAUUUUCAGGGUCAAAAUUUGACAUCUCAGAGAAAAUAGAAAGCUAUCAGUUAAACAGGGCAUUUGGUCAGUCAGGGGUAUUUUAGUCAUUUUAAAAGGUACAGUCCUCUGAUUGAGCUGAGAUUUUCUGGAUAAAAAGUUAACUCAAUUCCCUACAACUUUCAUGUUUUGAGUAAGAAUUGAUUUGGCCAUUAUCAUGGAUGAACAUGCAGGUCAGAUUGGUUCCAAAAACAGGGCAGAAUCACUACCAAAUGCUGGAAAUCAACUUUUACUCUAACAAAAUUACACUCAAGCCCAAAAUCACUUCACAAGUUCCAUUUCCACCUUAAUAACAUCAUUUACUAAUUAAAUAACACUAAUCAAAACUGAAAAGAUGCAAACCCUAGUUAAACAUUCUACUACACCAUCACAAACUAAAUAAUUAGCCGUAGCAAUCCAAGAGUAGAAGCUUCUAUACCAAAUUAACAAGAUGAAGCAAGAGAAAAGGAAGUUCAAGGUUUAUACCUUCCAAAAACUUCUUGCAAGUGAAAAACAAACCACUCUCUUCUAAUAAUUUCACCACACAAAGCUUUCCAAACACCAAAAGACAAGUUUAAUCGGUUUGGUUUGAUUGAUUUCACUCAAAUAAAGACGGAUUCAAGGUUGGAGUUGCUAACUUUCCUCUCUCUUUUUUCUCCUCUCACUCUCGGUCAACAAGAAAGAAAUGAUGGAGAAAUGAAGCCAAUUUGGUGAUAAGAAGGAAGGAAAUUUGUUUAUUCCAAGUUUACUAAUUUUCCAACAAGUGUCACACUUUAAUUUGAGGCCAAAUUUUUUCUUUUCUCUCUUGUUUUUUAUUCCACAAUUUUGGCUGGUAUAAGGAGAUAUUUAGGACUGAUUUUGCUCAAGUAAGAAGAAGGAGAUUAAGGUGAUAAAGUAAUGUUCAACUGGUGCACUCAAUCGGUAACAAACGGUGUGCGUCGAUUCAAGCCGCUUUUUCCUAAUUCAUACGUACUAGUGUUUUAACUUAUGAUUCACUAACUUAUUAUUAUCACUUCUAAACACAAACUUUCUCUUAUAUAAAACUCACUUUUAGCUAUCAAAUUUAGUACACACUCCUUACCGAUUAAUCACACUACUAAAAUAUGCAAAAACCCUAGUUUAUCCUAAAUAUAAAAGUAAAGGAAAAACUCUUAAUUCUAUUUUUUAUUCUAACUAUUGAGGGAGUAAAUUAAUCGUAAAGCUAUUAUAAAGUAAUUGAUUCAAAAUAAAAAGGAAUUUUUAAGGAAAUAUGAAGAAUUUUGCAAGUCCUCACACUCUCUCCCCCUUAAAAGAAUAUCGACUUUGAAAUUCAUACCUUUAUUCAUAAAUAGCUCAGGGUAUUUCUCUUGCAUGUCUUUCUCCAGCUCCCAAGUUGCCUCCUCCACCUCAUGGUGUUUCCAUAGAAUCUUAACCAGUGGAAUCUGCUUACUUCUCAAGUCCUUUUCCUUCCUCUCCAGUACUCGAAUGGGUCAUUCCUCAUAGGCUAAAGACUCGUCCAGUUCAAUAUCUUCUGAUGGCAAAAUGUGAGUCGGAUCCAGGUGAUAUUUCUAAGUAAAGAAACAUGAAAAACAUCAUGGAUUCGAGAUAAACUAACUGGUAACUCUAGUCGAUAAGCCACAUUUCCUAUCCGCUAGAGUAUACUAAAUGAUCCUAUGUAUCUUGGUUGCAAUUUCCUCCCCUUUCCUGCCUUGAUCUUUCCUUUCAGUGGAAUAACCCUAAGAAAUAUCAUGUCCCCUACUUCAAACUCUAAAUCUUUUCUUCGAUGGUCAGUAUAACUCUUUUGUCGACUUUGGGCCGUUUGAAGCCUCUGACGUAUCACUUUUACCCUUUUUUAGGCUUCCUCAACCCAUGGUAUUACUGUUGGAUUUAUAAUCUUUCUCUCUCCUAUUUCAUCCCAAUAAAUCGGCGAUCGACAUCUUCAUCCAUAAAGUGCUUCAUAUGAGGCCAUUUGAAUAGAAGAGUGAUAACUAUUAUUAUACGUGAACUCCACCAAGGUUAGGUAUUGGCUCCAAAAUCUACAAUACAGGCUCUUAACAUAUCUUUAAGAGUUUGAAUGGUUCUCUCUGACUGUCCGUCGGUUUAAGGAUGAUAGAUUGUACUAUAGUUUAACUUAGUUCCCAGAGUCUCUUGCAACUUUUGCCAAAAACGGGAUGCAAAUUUAGGGUCUCUAUCAGAUACGAUACUUACUGGUACCCCGUGUAAUCUCACAACUUCAUUUAUAUAAAGUUUGACAAGUUUUUCCAAAGAGUAUUUCAUAUUAACUGGCAGGAAAUGUGCAGUCAUAGUUAAUCGGCCCACUAUUAUCCAAAUCGCAUCAUGACCUCUUUGAGUAUGUGGCAACCCUGACACAAAAUCCAUUGUUAUGUGCUCCUAUUUGCAUUCAGAUAUCUCUAAGGACUGUAACAGAUUCAAUGGUUUUUUAUGCUCAGCUUUCACUUGUUGACACGUAAGGCACCUUUGAACAAAUUAGGCAAUCUCCGCCUUCAUAUUAUCCCACCAAUAUAGACUUUUGAGAUCUUGGUACAUCUUGCCAUUACCUAGAUGCACCGUGUACCUAGAACGGUGAGAUUCCUCCAAAAUCUCCUUAUUCUGUUCUUCAUGUUUGGAUACAACGACGCGAUUUCGAAACUUUAGAAUUCCAUCAGGACCUAGAUUAAAAUCAGGUAAUUCUCCUUUUAUCACUCUUUCUACCCACUUUUGUAUCAUUGGCUCUUUCUUUUGACCCUCUUUAAUUCGGUCCAACAUUGUCAACUUCACCUCUAUAUUCACAAAAAUCACUUUCUUUGGUUCAAGACGGGGCUUCUAUUCACAGACAUUCUCUAACUCUCCCACCAUUAAACCUGCUAAUUGAGCCUUUUGACUUAAAACAUCUGUUACAACAUUGGCCUUUCCUGGAUGGUAAUUAAUGGUCCAAUCAUAAUCUUCUAAGAACUCUACCUACCGACCUUGUCUCAGAUUUAGCUCCUUCUGAGAAAAUAAGUACUUAAAACUCUUAUGGUCUGUGUAUACCUCAAAUGUCACUCCAUACAAAUAAUGCCGUCAUUUUUUCAAAACAAACACCACAGAUGCGAGUUCUAAAUCAUAGGUUGGAUAGUUUUACUCAUGAGAUUUUAACUUCCGAGAAGUAUAGGUAAUUAUAUUCCUAUUUUGCAUUAAAACACACCCUAAUUCUUCUCUCAAAGCAUCAGUAUACAUCGUAUAGCUAUCCUUCUUAUUUGACAAAACUAACACUGGAGUCAUGGUUAAUUGUUUCUUAAGCUCUUGGAAGCUCGUCUCACACUUAGCAUCCCAAAUAUAUUUCCCUUGUUUCUUUGUCAAAUUCGUUAGAGGUCCCGUAAUUCUGGAGAAAUUCUUUAUAAACUGGCGGUAAUACCUUUCUAGCCCCAAAAAGGUUUGAUUUUCCGACCGUUUCCAUUUGACAACAGUUUCCACUUUAGCCGAAUCUACAGUAAGUCCAUCCUUUGAGAUUAUAUGACUUAAAAAUGAUACUUUCUCUAGCCAAAAUUCACACUUGCUAAACUUAGUAAACAACUGGUGUUUUCUCAAGAUUGGCAAUACUAUUCUCAAGUGUUGCUCAUGUUCUUCCUUUGUCUUAGAGUACACCAGAAUAUCAUCUAUAAAAACCACCACGAACCUAUUCAAAUAAGGUUUAAACACCUGAUGCAUUAAAUCUAUAAAUGCAGUUGGGGUAUUGGUUAAACCAAAAGGUAUUACUGCAAAUUAGAAAUGUCCAUAUUGACUGUUAAAUCCAGUUUUUGGCUCAUCCUUCUUCCUAAUUCUCAAUUGAUAAUAUCCUUGUUGUAAAUCUAACUUAGAAAACACAACAGCUCCUUGUAGCUGGUCGAAUAACUCGUCAAUGUUGGGCAAAAGAUAUUUAUUCUUAAUGGUUACUGCAUUCAACCCUCGAUAAUCAAUGCAUAACCUUAAACUCCCAUCCUUCUUUUUGACAAAUAGCACUGGAGCACCCCAAGGUGACUGACUCUCAUGUAUAAAUCCCCGUUCUAGCAAGUCUUGCAAUUACGAUUUUAACUCCUUAAGUUCAGCGGCCGUUAUCCGAUAAAAGGUUUUUGAAAUGGGAGUAGUUCCAAGUGCUAAAUCAAUUUUAAACUCAAUCUCUCUUUCAGGUGGCAAUGACACCAACUCAUCCGGGAACAUGUCUGGAUACUCAUUUAUCGUCGACAUCUCUUCUAGUUUACCUUUUUCUCCUGGGGUGUUGACUAAAAAUGCUAGAUACCUCCGUACCCCAUUACUUAACAAUUUCCUAACCCUAAUUUCCGAAAUAAGGGCGGAUGAGGCUAGAAUACUCUUUAUGUCUAAUUUAGAGUUGUCUCACCAGGUAAGCAAAACUCGACCACCUUUAUUCGACAAUCUACCCGAGCAUGAUAACGAGUUAGCCAAUCCAUUCUUAUAAUAACAUCAUACCCCUUAAUGGCUAGACUUAUAAGAUCAACUACCAAUUUUCGCUCACCAAUCCCAAUAUCGCAUUUCUAUACACCUCAUUGGCAAGUAAAGAUUGGUUACCCGUAAGUGUUUUCACUUCUAAAUCAUGUGGUAGUCUCUCGGCUUUCACAUCAAUUCCAAACAUAAAUGUAGGACUAACAAAUGAAUGGGUUGCACCAGGAUCUAUCAAAAUUUUGGCCAAGCGAUGGAAAACAGGAAUCGUACCUUCCACUACCUCCGAUGGUUCAGGUACCGAUUGUUGGUCCAAAGAGUACACUCUGGCUGGUAUCCUUGGUCUGGUCCCUCCUACAUUAGUUGGUUUAGGGUUUGAUUUGCCAGCCGACUGGACAUCACUAAUCAGUGAGCAAUUGGCAAUCUGAUGCUUAGUAUUUCCACACCUUAAGUACUUUCAAGCCUUUCUCCAGCAAUUAUCCUCGGUAUGGUUGGAUUUUCCACAGUACCCGCAAGAUACACGGGAGGCGGAUGUCUGGCCUUCUUGUGAGGCACCCUAGCCUGUCCUUUUCCACCUGGGGCUCCUCUCGGAGUAACUCCCCUAGAUGUACCCGUAAACCUUCCUCCAACUCCUCGACCGACUUUAGGAGGUGGCAUGUUCCGAUCACUAUGUGCCUGCCCCUGAUUUCCACCAGGCGCACCUCUUCUUUUUGCAUAAAAAGUCCUUACUUGUGCCCUGGCAAUUUCUAUUCUCUGGAUCUUCUCCAAAACUUCCGUAAAAGUAUGAAUUUGUGCUGCCGCUAAGGCUUCAUGUAGUUUCACAUUGAGUCCCUGUACAAACCUUCUUACCCUCCUUUGCUUUGUAUCUAUCAACUCGGGAGUAAACUUGGAUAGUUUAGUAAACCGAGUCUGAUACUCAGCUACACUUAGGAUUCCCUGACAGAGUUUAAUGAAAUCGUCUUCUCUCUUCUCCUGGACUAUCGAUGGAAGAUAUUUCUCAUUAAACUCACGCACGAAAUUUAACCAGGUCCAUGCGGUUCCCUCUCUGUCCCACUUAGCCCUAACCACAUUCCACCAGACUCUGGCUAGUCCCUCAAACUGAAAGAUAGCAAAAUGUACCUGCCUAUCUUCCGCAUAGUUUAAAGCACCAAAAUAUUGAUCAUCGUCUCUAACUACCUCUCAGCUACUUCAGGGCCCGGUCCUCCCAGAAACUUAGGAGGAGAAAACUUUUGGAAUCUAUCUAGGGCCCUAUCUUACCCCAUUUCAGGAUCCCUGGAUUGAUUAACAGAGGCUUGACCCUGCUGUUCUACUAGUCGAGUAAGAAUAUUAGUCAUCUGUUGAAUUGUCGUUACCACCUGAUCCCCCCUUCUGCUUGGGGUCUAGGUUGCAGCUCAACCGUUGCACCCCUUUCCUCUCUCAAUUCUUGCACCGGUUCGUGUACCUGUCUAACCCCAAGGCCACGGCUAGAACCGCGCCCUCGGGUAGUUCCACGGUCUUGACUUCUUCUACCUUCCAUGUUUCUUGAAUAAUAGACUAUAUAAAUAUAAAAUGAAUAUAAAGUAGCCAUCAAACUCAAAUAAAACAUUUCCCCAAUCAUAAGGGAAAGACACUAAAACACAUUUAAAAUAAACAUUCUCUUUUUAUAUAUAUAGCAAAAUAAGUCACAUAACAAGUUUGAAAGUACUGUACAAGCCAAGGGACAUAGAACAAAAGCAAGCACUAUAUACAUCAAGUUUAACAUGUCAAAUUCAAAAACAAAAGGUGGUGUAUCCCACUAUGCCCCUAACUACCUCACAAAAUCUCUCGAAAUCCUAGAUCCCUAAUUUAGUCAGUCACUAACCUGACCAAAUCUGCCUCCUUCGUGGGUGUAGCCGGCUCCUCCUCAGGAUCCUCCUCAGGGUCCUCUUCAGGAUCCUCCUCAAGAUCACUAGGGACUGCAUUUCCUUGACCCUCCUCAGCCAAGUUCUGCACCACAUCCUCUACCAAGACCCCACAAUAAGUUAAAAUAUUGUCAGUCCGAUCUCUCAUGUCCCUAACUACCUGAACAAGGCAACUAUUAGCCUCCUGAGCCAGCUCUCGAAAGGUAUGUUCGCUCCUGCUCCUCAAGAACCAAAACUUCAAGCUCUCAGAUCCUAGCACCCUGUACUCGUAGAACUGCCUACAGAUGCUCUAUCUCCAUCUGGCACCUAUGAUUGGCGCUACCCAAUCGUCUCCUCUCAUCGACAAUCGCAAAUACGACCCUAUCGGGGUAGGAGUAAGUCCUCCAGCAGUCGCAGUGUCGGAUCUUAUGUGCUAGAGACCACCGACAUACGGGCCCACUAGAAUGUUCCUAAUAAGUAAGUACGCAACAUAUAGGCCCCUCAAGGUGCUCCUGGCAGGCAGAUAUGGGCCGAGAUGGCUUGGCACUCCCACUCGCACCAUUAGCCUACAUUACAAGUAACAUCGCAAGCGUAAGCAAUUUAGACAAAUAAAACUAGGCUAAGCACUAUAUUUGCUAGGGUUUCACACUUAGGCAAUCAUAACCAAACUAUAUCAGGUAUAAAUUGCUCACUCUACCCAAACCAAUUCAAACCUAGGCUCUGAUACUACCUGUGACGACCCCACCUCCCCCUAGGGUUUACCCCAAAGUUUAACGGAUCGCCUGCCCAACUCUCGUCAGGACUUAUUCAUUCCAAGAAAAUAGAUUGCAGCCUCAAGAGUAAAAGAAAUAAUAGUUCUCAAGUUUGGAAUAUACAAAUACAUUCAUUUCUAUUUCAAUCAUCCAUACAAUCUCAAAUAUAUCAAAAGAUUGAAGUUCUAAGUACAUUUAACCUAAUUGAGAGACUAGUACGAGUACAGUUGCAAAAUUUUCAAAAACUUGACUAUGCUAGCCUGUACCAGUCUCACACCUCGCUCGUACCCCCUGUAAGGAAAACAAAUCUAAUAGAGUGAGUUAAAACUCAGUGAGAUUCCAAAUAACAAAUUGACCAUUAAUUAAAAGUAAAAGAUUCAAAAUAGCAAAGUAGCGAGCAUAUCAAGUCAAGAAAAUGAGUAAUAACACUUCGUAAUUCCAAUCGCUGGAUAUUGAACAUGUCAAAUAAAAUGAUACAACCACUAUUGUAAAAUAGCUCCGCCAUAGCUUGAUCAAAGAGUAAUUGACACUUCGUCAACUUUCAAGUAAAGUAAUCAAUCCGGUAGUGCGCCACUUAACACCAAUCUCCGUCCACCAUUCAACCCCUUUAUCGGGCCCAAACGUUUAGAUAGACACGGGUGGUAAUACUCAAGUAUACCGAUUAUUCGAGGAGAUAUCACUCCACUCGACAACACAAGAUACCCAGGGUUCGUUAUCUAAUCGACCAAACCCUUGCCAACUCGACUCGAUUAACUAGCCACAGGGUUUUUGGAAUUCCAAACAAGAUACGAAUCAUAUAUCAAGUCAAUUGCAACCAAUGAACAAGAAUAUAUCACAUUAGAGCAAGUGCAAUAAAGUACACUCUUGCCUGACGAAACCAAUCAAAUAUCAUCCGACCACGUUGAUCAAGCAUUUAAAACAAGUUUCAAGUUCAAUAAGGUAUUUGGAAGUACUCACCAAAAACUUAGUGCUUCUUAGGAUCACGUUCAGGUACAACUCCUUGUUUGAAAUCCAAAUCUACGAUAAAACGUCAUUUAAAAGUUUGAAAUCAACUAGGGUUUGAAAUUUAAGAGUUUCGCUUAAAGAAAAUCAAGUAACUGAAACUCAUUUAGGUAGUAUUCAUGUUACUUAUCAAACUCUAGAAAAUUCAUACCCGCUCUUUUGGUAUUGCUAAAGAAGCAAUUAAAACUUUGGAAUUCGCAUUUAAGUCUAAAAAACGAGGAAAACGUAUUUCUCUUGGUCGCUACCUUCACCUUUGAAAGGGUACGAGUUUUGGCCAAAUUCAACCCAUAUACCUCUACUAACAGUAACUUGACUACCAUAGAUAAUCCACGUUCACUUCGACUUCAAAUCUUCACUCAAGUCUCAAGUUCACUCAUCUAACCCUUAAGCGAAAAUUUGGGUGGCAUGCCCUUUGUAUUUCGCUAUUUUCUAGCUAUUUAUGACUUCAUUAUUUUCCUCAAUUCAACCCAAAUUCAACUCAUAAGCAAGCUUAACAAAAUAACUCUUCAAUUAGGUACAAUAUCAUCCAAAUACAAUUCAAUUCUAGCAAUGAAAUCAUCAAGACCAAAGCUGGAAACUAGUAUUAAAGAAGAAUGUCCAACUGGCAGAUUUGUCAUCUUUCGGUAUUUUGGUCAUAACUGAAGCUAGAUCUAUCAGAUCGAGGUAAAUUUUAUGGCAUUUCAAAGCUAAGAUAUAAAACUAUAUUUCCUAUGAAGACAUCGAUACCCAGUUCUCGCAUGUUUAGGGUAAAAAAUUGACAUCUCAGAGAAAACAGAAAGCUGUUAGUUAAACAGGGCAUUGGGUAGUUAGGGGUAUUUUAGUCAUUUUACAAGCUACAGUCCUCCGAUUGAGAUGAAAUUUUCUGGAUAAAAAGCUAACUCAACUCCCUACAGCUUUUAUGUUUUGACCAAGAACUGAUUUAGCCUUUAUCAUGGAUGACCAUGCAAGUCAGAUUGGUUCCAAAAAUAGGGCAGAAUCACUACCAAAUGCUGGAAUUCAACUUCUACUCUAACAAAGUUACACUCAAGCCCAAAAUCACUUCACAAGUUCCAUUUCCAACCUUAAUAACAUCAUUUACUAAUUAAAUAACACUAAUCAAAACUGAAAAGAUGCAAACCCUAGCUAAACAUUCCACUACACCAUCACAAACUAAAUAAUUAGCCAUAGCAAUCCAAGAGUAGAAGCUUUUAUACCAAAUUAACAAGAUGAAGCAAGAGAAAAGGAAGUUCAAGGUUUAUACCUUCCAAAAGCUUCUUGCAUGUGAAAAACAAACCACUCUCUUCCAAAAAUUUCACCACCCAAAGCUUUCCAAGCACCAAAAGGCUAACACUAAUCAAAACUGAAAAGAUGCAAACCCUAGCUAAACAUUCCACUACACCAUCACAAACUAAAUAAUUAGCCAUAGCAAUCCAAGAGUAGAAGCUUUUAUACCAAAUUAACAAGAUGAAGCAAGAGAAAAGGAAGUUCAAGGUUUAUACCUUCCAAAAGCUUCUUGCAUGUGAAAAACAAACCACUCUCUUCCAAAAAUUUCACCACCCAAAGCUUUCCAAGCACCAAAAGGCAAGUUUAAUCGCUUUGGUUUAGUUGAUUUCACUCAAAUAAAGAUGGAUUCAAGGUUGGAGUUGCUAAUUUUCCUCUCUCUUUUUUAUCCUCUCACUCUCGGCCAACAAGAAAGAAAUGAAGGAGAAAUGAAGCCAAUUUGGUGAUAAGAAGGAAGGAAAUUUGUUUAGUCCAAGUUUACUAAAUUUCCAACAAGUGUCACACUUUGAUUUGAGGUCAAAUUGUUUCUUUUCUCUCUUGUUUUUUAGUCCAAAAUUUCGGCUGGUAUAAGGAGAUAUUUAGGGCUGAUUUUGCUCAAGUAAGAACAAGGAGAUUAAGGUAAUAAAGUAGUGUUUAACUGGUGCACUCAAUCGGUAGCAAAUUGUGCGCGUCGGUUCAAGCCGUUUUUUCCUAAUUCGCGCGUACUAGUGUUUUAACUUAUGAUUCACUAACUUAUUAUUAGCACUUUUAAACACACACUUUCUCUUAUAUAAAAUUCACUCUUAACUACCAAAUUUAGUACACACUCACCGAUUAAUCACACCACUAAAAUACACAAAAACCCUAGUUUAUCCUAACUAUAAAAAUAAUGGGAAAACUCUUAAUUCUAUUCUUUAUUCCAACCAUUGAGGGAGCAAAUAAGUAGUAAAGCUAUUAUAAAGUAAUUGAUUCAAAAUAAAAGGGAAUUUUUAAGGAAAUAUGAAGAAUUUUGCAAGUCCUCACAAGUUCAAACAUUUGAGUUAGGAAUUUUUUUUCAACUUUUGUGAUGUUUUCAACUUCCUUACCUGCAUUAAAAUUGCAAUUUGUGUGUGCAACUAGUAAUAAGUUAGUUGCAAUUGAUUGACUAGACUUGGAAUUUUCACCCAGUCUCAAAAUAGAAUGAUAUUUUUGCCAUCCUUGACAAAUCGAUAAAUAUUGUCUCGUCCACUAUGUGUUGCAUCUAUGCCAUAUUGCCAUGGUGCACCAAGCAAUAAGUGAUAAGAUUCAUGUCCAUAAUGUCACAUAGGACUUCAUCAACAUAUUUUUCAAUUGAAAAUGGAACAAGAUGUCUUGCAAUUACCUCAACAAGUUCCAACCAGCUAUAUAAGAUUGCGAAUGUUCUUCAAUAGAUAAUUUUAUUAUAUCAACCAAUUUCUUAGAAAUCAUAUUUCAAGAAGUACCACCAUAAAUUACUAAUUUCUUAGAAAUCCUAUACUUGGUUCAUAAUAGUUGGUUUCUCUAAAUCUCAUCUUCCUUUGGUGAAAGAUUGAAAACCACGCAUAUAGACUAUCUUUUUUUAUGGCGGUUUUCCCUAGGCUAACCCCACCAAAAUUUGCCAAAGUUUCAUCAUCUAAAGACGAUGCCUUAUAGCUUGGUUGUGUACGAGGUUGAUAUGGUAUUGAAUAACGACGCGGUAAUAGCAACUCUCUAGGCAUGAUCUCCCUCUUCUUCAUGACCUAAGGCAUGAUGACAUGCAUCAGUGUUCAUUACAGAAGAAGUCUACUCUGAUACCACAUGAUGCAGUAACAGAAGCAUGAAAAGCGAAAGGAUUACAUGAACACCCUCUCUAUGAGAAUCAUUACAUGAACAAAACCCAAGCAUAAACCAAAGAUUGAUAGAAAUGAGAGAAAACUUUCAACAAUUGGUAAAACCAACCAAAUUUGAUAUAUUUUUUGAUAAAGAUUAAUUACAAAAGACCUAUGCUUAUUUGUAGGCUUGCAAGUGCUAGUCUAAUGAGUUACUUACUUAAUAAGAAACAGCUAACACAUCUAACUAGAAUAGGAGAGAAAAAUACAAUUAAAAUUGGAAAUCGUCUAAAACUGCGUAUAGGCACCCAACAAGGAUCCACGGACAGAUCCAAGCCAGACAGCUGCAGAUUUACCUUGUGGAUCCAUUACUCCAGCUUCUGCCAUGAAUUUGGCUAGAGAAUCCAAUCACAGAUUAGAGAAUCAGAUUGCAUCUAGAAGUGUGUUUCAUUUCCUUCUAUAGAUGUUCUUCGCGCAUCAUCACUUAUUGACAAAUACAUCUAAAAUACUAGAUAAAUAGCUAAAAAUACUAAUAAAAUAAUAAAAAUUCACCCUAACUAAGAAUUCUAAAUUAAAUAAUAUUGAUACAAACAAAAGAUAAAAGAACACAAGAGUCCUCGUUCUGUAUCAGCAUCCCUUUUGUUGUAACCUAGUGAUCAACAAAAAUGCAUGUGAUAUUUCCUCACUUGCCAAUAAUGCAGAUCAUGUAAUAUGAAGCCUUGCACCUUAAUAUUCUUCAUUUCUUUCUUCAAGGUAAAAUAAUUUCUUUCUUUAAUCUAGAAUACCGAUUUACUGAACAAGGGUUUACCAAGAUAUGGCAACAGGAAAGAUUCCAUCAUUCACCAUUGAAUAUGAAUGUGAAGACCCGAAAAUUUAUUUUUAUAUUUUGUAUUUUUGAAAAUUAUUUUAUAUUUUCUCUUAUUUUUGGAAAAAAAAAGUUAAGUUACAUUAUUUUAUUUUACUUUACUUGCCUAUUUACUUGCCUUAAUUUUAUGGUAAUUUUCAUGGUUGAGUCAAGAUUUUUAUCUUUUCCCUUUUAUAAUUAGGUGCAUGUUAAGUUUCCUAGUGCAUUAAAAUAGUGUGAUCGAUUAGUGAGGUGUGCACACUACAUUUGAUGGACAAGAAUGGGUGUGGUACUAGAGGGAUUAUAUGAUUAGAAGUAUUAAGAAUCAAUUGGAGAAAUAUAAUAUAUGAUUAGAAAUACGAGACAAAGGGAUAGGAAUAGAACCAUAAGCCGCCAAGUGUCAACUUUUGAAGCUUCCAUUGACCAAGACUUUCCUCUAGUUCUUAUUUUGUAUUUUAACAAAAUUUCUUCCAUUUUCUUCCAUCUUGGCGGAACCAUAGAGAGAGCAAAAGAGAGAAACUACUCCAAAUUCUCUUCUUGAUCCUUGCGAGAUUUGGAGAGAAAAUCAACAAGAAUCCCUAAUCUAAUCCAAAGAAAGAUGCAACAAGGGAGCAAGUAAGCUUGUGGUGAAGUGAUUUGGGAAAGAAAACUCUUCAGUUGCUUGUCAUCUUGGGUUUUGAGGUAAAUUUUUUAGAAAACAUCUCUUUUUACUUGUUUCUUGAGAUUUAUGCAAUAUAUGCUAUGAUUGAAGCUAAAGGACACAUGUUUAUGGAAGAUUUCAGGGUAUUGUUAGUUUUGGUGAAAUUUCCAGCUUUGAUGUGAGGUUUUCUAACUUUAAGCCAAAUUUCCAGCUUCCAUAAGAGAUGUUCUAGCUUUGAUAUGAAAUUUCAAGGUUUGAUAUGUGAUUUUUGGUCUUGGUAUACAAUUUCCAGCUUUGAUGUCAUAAAUUCCAGCUUUGAUAUAGUUUAGGUUUGGGCUGGAUUUGGGGUUUGCUUUGAUAAUCUAGGGUUAAUCUUUCUAGUUGGUUUUGUAAGCGAUUUCUUUGUUAUAAAUUGACAAUAUAUGUUUUAUAACAUGUUGGUUAGUUUAAGUUGUGGAUUUGUUAUAGAAAUAUGAAAGAAAGUUGGGAGUUGAGAGUUUGAAAAAAUUCUGGAAAUUUUGGGUUGAAGCUGUCUGAACAGGGGAGGAGGUUUUGAACUUUUUUUUUUGCAUAUUUAUGGUUAUUCUUGCUUAAUUCUUGCUUUAUACAUGUUAUUCUUCAAUUAUAUGUUGAAUUUGAGAUAAGGGAGUGAGAUUUUGUUAGUGAAAGUUUCAUUUUCAUAAGUUGUUAGAAAUUUGAAAAUUUUCGCAAGAAGCUCUGUGCAGUUUUGGAAAACUAGCUAUAACUUCGUAUAGAAAAGUCAUAAUUGAGUUCCGUUUGUUGCGUUUGAAACUAAACUCAUAGAACUUCCAAUGAUAUAAAAUUCAGGGUUUGGUUCAAUUUCAAUAAAGACCACCAAAUCUGUAAAGUUUCUUGAAAAUCAUGACUGCUCUGCUUCUGCACUUGUGAUAGCAGUGAUUUUUAAACUGAAAUAUUACUAAUCUAUGAGCUGAAUUUCAAGAAGAUAUCUUCUAAAGCCUGUUAGUGCUUCAAGUCUAUUUUCUAGCGGCGUAAGUUUUGUGAUUUUUUGACCUACUAAACUCAAGUUAUACCUUUUCCAAGAAUGCCACUAAAGCUGGAAAUUUUAUCCAAUGGAUUGAGUGGGACUUGAAAAAUCUUGAAAAAUUUUCUAUGGUCUUAAACUUAACUUUCUUAUGAUAUAUUUGAUGGUUGGAAUCAAUGCAUAUGUGUGUAAUUAUAUUUGGUCUCAAGACUCGAGAAUAGGCGAGAAGAUGAGCCUGGGUGGAAGUGUAAAAGAUCAUGUUUGAUCGGUGAGUGUUCCAACUGCAUGUUCCAUGUUACUUGAUCAAAUGUAACUUGUUGUUAGAAAUUGCUAAGGAUUCUGAAUUGUUACUUCAUAAGUGAUUGUAUACUUUAUCGCACUCAAACUUUGUUAAAAUGAAUUACAUGAUCCUGCAUACAGACUUGCAUGCACAUGUGCAUGAUUAUAGGCUGAUUAUAUGUCUCCUUGCAGUAGCUGAACUGGGUUCUUUGCUCGCAACCUUAUUCAAGAAGUUGGAUAAGCUUGACAACCUUGAGUUACUCAUGCGUAUGUAUGAAUGUAUGCCAAUAACACCUGAACUAUGCCCUUCAUUGAAACUCUUACUUGAGACCAGCCUUAGAGCGGUCAGGUAAGUUUUACAACCUUGGGUAAAGGAAGAAUUUCCUAAUCUGUUUACUCGUGACAUGCUUGAAUACAAAGCGUUAGGUGACAGCUAACAUCUCCAAUCAUUACUUGCAUAAGCGUUGGGUGAUAACCAUGACUCCACUCGUGAAUGCUUGAAUACUUGGGGUUCCAAGCCCAGAUCAUGAAUACUUGAAUACUUGGGGCUAUAAACCCAACCCGUGGCUAGUUGGUCGAAUCAAGCUGACAAGGGGCUGGUCGAGAAGAUUGAUGAGCCGUGGGUACUUGAUUGGCGUUCGGGCUCAGUAGGGGACUGAUCGGUGGACGGAGAUUGGCUUUUAGUUGUGAUUUACGGACAUUAUAAUUGGUUGACGGAGUGUCAACAGAUUUUGGACAAACUGCUGUGGAACCUGUUCCUGAGAGCAGACUAUAUUCUUUGAUAUAAAUGUAUUUUUUAUUGUACAUUAUUGCAUGAUGUAUCUGGUUACCUGCUUUGUUGUACAUUAUGUCAUAAUCUAUCUGGAUAUGACUUGUUUCUUGAUAUUCUGCUAGUUUACUUGUAUAUUUUCUUGGAACCUCAUUGGGCGAAAGCUCAUUCCAUUAAUUUGUUUUCUUUACAGGGAUGAGAACAUGAGAGUGGGAGUUGGAGAAGGCGUAGUCUUUGUCUAAGUUUUGUUAGUUGCUCGUGUAAGUUCUUAGCUCUUUAACAGGCUUGCUUGAUUUUAUUUUGUAAGCACGACUCCUUGGCUAUAUUUAGAAAUUGUAUGGGCAUUUGAUGUCGACGAUUGUAUAUAUCUAAAGUUGUAAUUGUUAUUGAUUUUAUUGUUGAGGUUAUUGUUUUAUAAAUUUUAUGGUGCGUGAGUGAGUCCUGACGAGAGUUGGACAGGCAGUCCGCCAAACCCUUGGGUACACUUUAGGGGGAGGUGGGGUCAUCACAGAUGGUAUCAAAGUUGCCUCGCGUGGUCUAUGCACGACGUGAACUUGGACCAAGUAUUGUUAUGGUCCCGAUUUCGUGAAUGAAUGUAAAUGACUAAAUGCUCUUCUUGAGCAUAAGUUGUGAACCAUGAAUGUUAUAGGUAUAAAACCUUUAUCAUGGUAUUUGGGGAAGAUAGAUAUGUACGUCAGAUAGGAAUCUCAAAUGUAGAUGAUUUACUCUUGGGAUUGGACAGCUCGAGUUGUGAAUUAUCUUAUUUCGGAUUCUUGUACUCGAGUACCAAAAAGUGAAGAGCACUAGGAUGAGGGUCAAUAUCUUGCUUACACUUGAGGUAAGUUUUAAUGGCAAAGGUCAAGACGUGGAAGAUUUUAGUAUUGGAUCUGAGAUUGGACCGAUCGAGGAAAAUAGAUCGAUAAAUGUGUGACUAGGGUUUUUAUAUAUGAUGGCUAGAUUUAAAAUUUGAUGGUUGUCCUGAAUGUUUAAAGUUCUAGCAUUGUAGACCUGUGUAAUUUACCCGAUGAAUGUGUGGCCUUGUUGUUUUGUGAUUACUUGCUUUUGAUGUGGUCUGAUUGUAACUAUAUAUGUAUUUCUCUUGUGACAGGUUUUGGCCCUGAUUGAUUAUAUCCUUCCUUAGUUCCUAUAUUUCUAAUUGGCCUUGAUUUCUAUCCUUAUGAGGUUAGAGAUUUGGAUUAUGUAUGAAAAUUUUGAAAAAAGGGAUUUGGGUUCUGUGAGAACUCGAAAAAUUAUUUUAUAAAUUUUCUUAUUUCUGAAAAAUUUAAUUUAUAUGUUUUUUUUAUUUUACCUUGCUUGCCUUAAUUUCAUGGUAAUUUUAUUGAUUGAGUCAAGAGUUAUAUCAUUCCCCUUUUUAUAUUUUAGUGCAUGUUAAGUCCUGUAGAAUAUUAAGGUAGUGUGAUCAACAAGUGAGAUGCGUGCGUUAUAUUUGGUGGACGAGAUUGGGUGUGGUGCUAGAGGAAUUAUGUGGUUAAAAGUGCUAAGAGUACAUUAGUGAAUCACAAGUUAAAACAAAAGUACAAGAGAGGCAAAGAAAUAGGCUUGAACCAACUCACGCCGUUUGUUACCGGUCAAAGACGCCACAUGACCAAGACUUUCUUUGCCUAAUCUUCUUAUUUUCCUUUUCAUUUUUCUUUUCCUAAUUUUCCCUAGGGCUGGCCAAAAUUCUUGACCAAGAAAGAGGGAAAAAGAAAAAAAAAAAGAGGAAAAAUGGUAGCUUGCCAAGUGUUGGCAAUUAAGGGCCUUGUUUGACCAAAAGCUUCCUUCCAUCUUUAUCAUCCAAGUGAACCAAAUUCCCUUCAUUUUCUUCUCAUCUUGGCCGACCAAAGAGAAGGAGAAAAGAGAGAACAGAGCUUCAAGUUUCAUCUUUAUCUUGCCUUGCUUGAGUGAGAAAUCAACAAGAAUCACUAGUUUAAUCCGAACAAAGUUGCAACAAGGAGCUAAGGAAGCUUGUAGUGGAGUUGUUUGGAGAGGAAAGCCUUGGUUUUUUAUUUUGUCUUGGAAGUUUGAAGGUACUAAGUUGGGAAACUUCCUUUCUCUUUCUUACCUUGCAAUUUAUUAGGUAGAUGGCUUGAAAUUGGCAAUUUUAUGGAAGAUAUCAUGGAUUGGUGAAGAUUUGUGAAAUUUCAGUCUAGGGUUUUAAUUUUUCAUCUUUGUUUCCUAUUUUUCAGCUAAGGUAUGAUGGUAUCUAGAUUUGUUAUGGACUUCUAUGAAGAUUUGUAGCUUUAUUGUGACUUUUAACUUUCUAAAUAGGAAUUUCCAGCUUUAGUUCUAAAAUUUCAGCUUUAGUAGUGAAUUUUUCAGCCUUGAUAUGUGGUGUUUAUAUGUUAGAGAUGAGCUUAAAGUAGUUGGUUUUGUAGGCUAGUAUAAGAACUCCUUUUUCCCUAUAACUUGUGGAAUUGAUUUGGGCUAAUUUGACAUGAAACUUAGUUUGGAAAAUUUGAGAAAAAAUUAAGGAAAUAGGGGAAGUGCUGCCUGUUUUUCCUCUUGUGGGGUGAGUGAAAUUGGGAAUGUGACUUUUGGAUGCUUUGGACUUAGUGUGCUUAGGAAUGCUUGAGUCCACUCUAGUGAUGGUAUAUGAGCUAGAAUUUUGCUAAAAUUCAUACAUUUUGCAUGGUGAACAUGAUGACCAUUUUAAACAUGAUGUUUAGUUACUUAUGUCAAGUUUUAAACUUUAAAUAUUUUACUCGUUUUCUUCCCAAAAACAAAAGGAGAGAGCAUGUAUCUUGUAUAUGAUUUUACUUAAAACACUUGUUACAAUCUAUUUCUUUGCAUGUGUGCUAGUUUUGAGUCAAGACAAGAGGUUUAAAUGAAAGGAAAUAAGUUCUUCAAAUCAUUUUAGGUCGGACAAUUUCCAACUUUGCACUUUGAAAGUUUUGACAUAAUUCCUUCAAACGUUUGACUAUAAUCGAUGCUUGUUUGCUCCAAAUGACUCUUAAAACAUUGAUUUAGUAUGCACAUGAGGUUUUCUCCUCGAUUUGAACAAUAAAAUGUUAUAUUUUUUUAUAAGCUAUACCGGCAUAAAACUUGUAAAUUGCUGCAUUUUCUAAAUAAGGUUUUGAAACCCCAAUUUCUUCAUGUAAUUUGGCUUUGUAUUGCUAGUCUUUUAAUAUAGUAUAUGACCACAGGACUCGAGAGAGUUCAAAAGGAUGAACCAGGGUUAAAGUGAAGGAUUGCAAUUGAUUGGUGAGUGUUCCUUGCGUGUUGUGCUUCCAAUGACUAUAUGGAAUGUUUUAAAUGUUUGCUUAAGUGUUAAAUGCUUUUCAAUGAUUAUUAAAUGGAUUUUCAAUGGGUGAGUAUAUACUUUAUCGCACUCGACCUAAGUGAAUGUGAAUUUUUAAUGAUAAAGUGAUUGAAUGUUACUUGUGUAUGAAUGUAAGCCUUUGGCUGAACUGGGCCCUUGCCCUUCGCUGCCAGUCAACUUGAGCCAGAAGCAGACUCGAUUGGGCAGCUGGUGACCCUAGAACAGUGUUUGGUAUACUCGAGUAUGACCACGAAAUUUGGUAGAGAACUGGCCAGUGAAUACAAUGCAAUGAUUGAAAUGAACACUGAAGAAGUAUUCACUGUUAAAUGUUUUCAAAUGAUGGAGGACUAAGGGAAAUGGUCGGCGACUGAAUGACUGAAUGAAUGGCUCCAAGUGAGCACGUAUCCUUCCAAUGAUUGAAUGUUUAUUUCUUGAAUGACUGUUUAUUACUGUUCAAAGUGUUCAAACUAUUAAAAGUAAUACUUCCAUGUUUUAUCUACUUAAUUGCUUACUUAGAAACCUCUUUGAGCUUUUAGCUCAUUCCUUUAGUUUUGUUUUCCUUACAGAAGUGGAGGCCAAAGCAAUUAAGUGUGAACUAGAGUGUAUAACCCUCUUAUACUUAUACUUUUGGUAGAUAGAAUGUAUUUCGACAUUUGAUGUUGUAUCAUACAUUUGAUUUUUUGGUUGUAAAUAAGUUUGAAUUUUGGUUGAAUUGUAGAACAUCAGUGUUAUUUUUGGAGGAUCGCAUGGUUAAUCUUGAGAGUUGACUAAAGCGAAUGAGUGAGUCCUGACAAGAGUUGGAUAGGCGGUCCGCCAAACCCUUGAGUACGCUCUAGGGAAAGGUGGGGUCGUCACAGGUUCCACAUUUAUAAUGACAUUGGACUGAUUCCCCUGAUCUUCUUGAAGUUCUUCUUAAGGAAAGGGCCUUAGAGGAAAAGACACUAUGGGGGUAAGUGCCCGUAGUAUCUUGUGGGCAUGACUUUUGAUGAUGAGUGAAAACUGGAGGGUGAGUUAGGGUGUGGCACUUUGAAAUCAAGUGGAUAGGAGUAAUGUCUAAGCAAGAAGGGUAACUAUUUCGUAAUGUACCAAGACUAGGUAUACAUGUCAUAGUAUCUCGAGGUCCCAACUUGUGUGACAUAUUUCAUUUAGCUAAUUUGAGAAAUUAAGUUUAGUUGUUCAUGAAUGGCUUGGAAUCGAACGAACUUACGAGGUAUAUGGUUGUUUUAUUAGUUACUCAUUGAAUACUUUAAUUUGUUUGGCAAAUUGUCAUGUGAGAUUAAGUGAAUCCGUGAAAUGAUGCAUUGGGAAGAUAUACUUGAGGAAAUAGAGAUUCUCUAGAAGAAAGUGGGUGAAUACUAGAAGGAUGAUGGAACCAAGAGUGAUACCAAAAGGAAACGCAAAGAAAAUAGUGAAGAUGAACUCGCUAUAAAUGAUAGAGGAAGGAAAGAAAGAACAAAAAAAUUUUGUAGCUGCUAAGAAUGGACGCUCUGAAAAUCCUCAUACUGGAAUGUGCGAGUUGAAAAUUGGUGCCUUGUAGAUGUAGCAACUUUGGACGUCAUGUGAGAGAUUGCCCAAAAUAAAUGAAUUAAGCUUUGAGGAAACUGUUGCCUUAGCCGAAUUUAGCCCUUCAUGAUGUUUUGUCUGGAAGAGUUGUAUUUGUUGGACUAUGUGUAGCGAAAGUCUUACGUAGUAAGUUGGAUUCCAGUUAUAUACCUUGAACUUGAAACCUGAUGAUUGCAUUAGUAAUAUUAAAUGUCUAUGUUCGGUUGGUGUUAAAUCCCUAUCCAUGAUUCAAGUUCUACAAUUUAUUCGUCGGUUUAAUGAGGAUUCUACAUUUGUAAUUAGUAAAGAAGGAAUUUCGAUUAGAGAGGGUGAUACGUGGCUAGUAAUUUAAUUGUAAAUAUGAGAGGAGAUGUUUAUUGUGGUUUCUUUGUCAAUGCAUAGAAUAUGAUUUCAGAAUCUAACAAGAGUAGUUAAGUUUCGUAGUUAUGGUACCGAGUUCUAAGUUAUAGCAUUCUGCACCUUUUGACACCUUCAUUGACCUUCCUUAGUAUGUUAAUUUAGCUAUUAUAUCAGUAAGAGUUUUCUUCCAGACAAGUUUGUGGUAGCACUACAAGUAAGGGGGAAGCCCUCUUUGGAUCACCCUUUUUUCACAAAUUGUUUUCAUUUGUGAAAUUUACAAUAAAAAAUUUCAAAAUAACUCCAAAAACACAUAUUGCAAAUGCAACUUACCUAAAUACAAAAAAAUCAAAAAAUAAAAUCUUACCACUUUUCCUUCUUCCAUUUACCACCAACACCUACCACUGCCACCACCCUUACCCUCCUCCCUCCUCCACUAACACUACUGCCUUUCCCCCCUCCUCUCUCCUCCCUCCUUCAUCUCCCUCCCCUCCCUUUCUUUCCUCUCCCCCCUCCCCUUCCCUUCUCUUCCCUCCCCUUCCUUUCCCCACCAAGCUGUGACAUUCUAGUUACAGGUAGAAGCUACAACUUGGUAGCAAUUUUUGGGACCUUUUGAUUGCAGCCAAAGGCCACGAUUGGUAGGGAGGAGAAGAGAGGAGGAGGAAAGGUGAAAGGGAGGAAGUGAAAGAGGGAGGAGGAAGGGGAAGGAAGAUGGAGGGGAAAAGAGGGCAGAGAGUUGGCAGUGGCAGAGGGAGGAGGGGGUGGUGGGUAGUUUUUUUAAUUUUUAAAAUAUACGCCAUCAAAUUUAUAAUUUUAAAAACAUCCUAACAAAUAAUUACAAUAAAAGUUUUUUAAAUAUAAUGCUACAGUGUAGUAUUUUAAAACACCUCCAAAAUAUCUAAUCCAUAUGGAACCCAUGUUUUCAAUGCUAGAAAUCAAGUGUCAAUGACUAGCUACGUCUAAAUUUCACCAAUUCAAUCCAAGAGCUUAGAGUUUGUCGUGUAUAUAUAUAUAUAUGUAUAUAUAUAUAUAUAUAUAUAUAUAGACACACACUUCAUCACAACCAACUCAAAACUAUCACAUAUUAAAUUUACUUCAUGUAUUAGCCUAGUUCUAUAUAGUUGAAUUUUCAAUUGUAAUAUUUACUCUCUAAAGGCACAAGUCUUGGUGAGAUUUUCAAAGUAUUUACUUGCUAUUUAUAUGUAUAUUGCUCAUCUUCUCUCUACCUCUUCUCUUCUCCAACUUCUCUCUACUUUUUCUUUUUCUUUCUCCUCAAAACCCUUUCCUUGUGGAGGGAGACCACACCAUGAUCUCCUUCCCAUGAGUUUCAUUUUGUUUUGUUUUCUUAAUAAAGUAUCUUUUAAGUUCUCUUAGUGUGAAUUUUUUAUUUCUCUAGGGAUUCCUAGUGAGAAUUUUCUAUUCUCAUAAGGAUUCUUAUGGAGCUUUUUUUUUCUUUUUUCUUAUUUUAUUGUUAGAUUUGAAUAUAUUUUAGAUCUGGUUGUCAAAUCUAAAAUUCUUUAGAUCUUGAAUCUAUUUUAACAGAUCUCAUCAUUAUUAUUGGAACUUAAAACCACGAAUUAGUAGAUUUAGCAAUUGUAACAUGCACGAAAAGAAGUCGCAGUGAUUUAUAUAUUAGAAGGCAAUUUUGAAAUUUCUUAUAUUUUUCAGAUCUAUUAAUAAUGUUUCAUAUCUAUUGUAUCUAUUAAAUUGCAGAUCUGUAAAUUUCUAGUACAUGUUUAAUCUACCAUUAGAGCAGUGAUCAUGUAAAUCAAAUCAUGCUAAAUGAUUUUCAACAAUCUGUUAAUAAAAGUUGUUUUAUAUAAAAAAAAAAGUCUAUGUUCAUCGCAUGAAAUUACAAAUUUUGAAGCUAUGACAUAUUGGGGCUUAGAGGUUUGUAUAUGUGGACAUACACUAAAUAAGAAUCUCGAUUACUGGUAGAUAAAAUUAACUAAUUAAAGGAUGUUAAUUCGUAAUUCGUGCACUUAUGUGAUUUGCAAAACAUGACUCCCGAGCACGCAAGUGCUCCCUCCAUCCCACUUUAAUAGUGCUGUUUCUUUUUUCACACAGUUUAAGAAAAAGUAGUUAACUUUGUUGGAAAAAUAAAUUUAGAUUGCUAUUUCCUAAAAUGCCCUCACAUUAAAUAUGGUACAACUCUAUGGGAACUUUAAUUGAUGGUAAAAAAAGAAUCAACUCUCAUUUAAUGGGUUAAGUUUAUAGUAACAACUACUUACAUUGAAUAAGGGUAUUUUAGAAAAAUUAAAAUACAACUACAUUCUUCAAUUAGAAAGUGAACUACAAUUUGGGACAGAUGAAAAAGAAAUAUAGGACUAUCAAAGUGGGACGGAGGGAGUAUUAGAGUUAUGUUUGUGUAUUGUUAUUUCAGUUGAGACAGUAUUCAAUGCUCGCUAUCUUCAAAUGCUAAAAUCCAAUAUUUUCAUUUCCUUUAAGGAGAAAAUGGCUAAUUCGUAUCUAAAUUUUUCACCAAAGCCAAUUUAGUUCCUAACUUUUAUUUCUAGCUAAUUUGAUACAUGAAAUUAUUUUGCAGUUUUAAUUAAGGACCUCAGUAGUAGUGCCUCCACCUAAAAUCGAUCUGACUCCUAAUUGACCAAUAAGUAGAGGUAUUUUAGGAACAUCACUCAUGGAAGUAUAAUAAAUCAAGUAAAUUGUGUAAAACAUCACAAGAUUAAACUUUAAAAAAGUUUUUUUGGGUGAUUUUUACACGCUUUAAAAUUUUUAUUUGGUGAUUUUACACAAUUUACUUGUUUUAUUACAAUUCCAUGAGUGACAUUCCCAUAAUACCCCUGUUUAGUUAGUUAAUUAGGAGUCAGAUUGGUAUUAAGUAGUAGUGCUACCGUGGAAGUCCUUAAUUGGAACAACAAAAUAAGUUCAAGUAUCAAAAUGGUUAGAAAUAAAAGUUAAGGAUUAAAAUGACACCAAUAAAAAGGUUUAUGGGUGAAAUUGCGCCAUUUUCCCUUCAUUAAAACAUCCUGAUAUAUAUAUAUAUAUAUAUAUAUAUAUAUAUAUAUUUAUAUAAGUAAGGGUUUGCUGCUAUUCAGUAGAAAACCUCUUUGCACGGCGCUCGUGUCGAUCUCUUUGCACUAGGGUUUUGCGGUGGGUGUUGUCACACGGGUGGCCAUGGCGGCCCUUCAGCCUCCUGCUGAAGGGCACUCUCCAGCCUUGGUACCCUUGUUCCAAGCAAAAUCUUUCUCCUCACUUUUUUUCGUCUAAAGAGUCGGCUGCUUUGAACGUGCAUGUGGAUAUGACGACGAAACGAGGUGAGCCUACAAUUGUGUUCUCUUCGGCAGAUCUGGCAAGGGCGGCGGCGCCUUUUCAGUGGGCUUUGGUGGGCAAAUUUUCUCAAGGGCGGCCUACAAUGGAAGAGCUCCGGAAGUUCUUCAAGACAUUAGACCUAAAGGCUGAGUUUUCGGUGGGGCUGUUAGAUCACCGACAUGUUAUCAUCUGUCUGAAUGCAGAACAUGAUUUCCACAGAAUAUGGGGACGGCACCUUUGGUACGUUUUAGGCUGUCCGAUGCGGGUCUUUAAGUGGACAACUUCGUUUCAUGUUCACAAAGAACCAUCGCUUGUUCCAGUAUGGUUUUCUCUGCCUAAACUUCCACUCCAUCUCUUUCACAAGGAAUGUUUAUUCCACGUUGUUUCGCCGUUGGGGCGUCCGCUCUUCAUGGAUGCAGCAACGAGAUCGCUGUCUCGUCCGAGCGUAGCGCGUGUUUGUGUGGAGGUCGACCUGGUGAAGCCUCUGCCGAGCCGAGUCUGGGUGGGUCUUGGGUCUGGGGAAGAUGAUGGUUUUUGGCAGGCUCUGGUUCCGGAGAAGCUGCCGCACUACUGCAGGUUCUGUUUUCGGCAAGGUCAUGAGGAGUCGGCUUGCCGGGCAAAACACCCUGAGCAUCGUGAGGCGGCGGCAGGGGGUAGGGUUAUAGGUAGCUCUGGCAGUGGGCAGACAGUUAAGCGAACCUGGGAGCUUAUUUCAAAGAUACAACGCGAGGUGGUGGGUGCGCAAUCAGCAGCGGCGACUCCAUUGGUAGACGUGGGUGCUGUGGAUGAGGGGCCAUCCCUCCAGCCCGGGGGGGAAACAGCUCCUGGACAUGGUGUUCCUGCGGUUUGGGAGGGCCAGCCAGCAGCGCAGGAGAACUCCUCAGGGGAGUUGGUAGUGCCACAGGCCAUGGGUUUGGAGGCAGAGCAGCAGCGGCAAUCUGCUGGCACCAGCUUGGUGCUUGUGGCUACUGGAGCCAGUGAGGCAGCAGGCCCUACGACCGUGAGCGGGCUGCCCACCCAGCAGGUGCAAGUGUUACCAUCGGCUGAUGGUUUGGUGGAUGGAAAAGAGGACGCUGGACUUGGGACAGCAGCUGAAGAGGAGGACGAAGUGGUUUCCGAUGGGCAUCUGGAUGAGGAGGACAUUUCCAUGGCUGAGCAAAGGGCUGGCAGCCUUUCGCCGCGAGGGCAACGGCUGUGUGCAGCUAGCUCCUUGGUGGUUGAUAUUUUUAAUCUUGACCCAAUAAUUCAACAGGUUCAGGAGAAGGCGAAUGGUGGGGAUGAUGUUCAGCUAGUGGUUCAACCGAAACGUAAGGGUGUUCGUUCUGUGGCUCCUACUGAUCGUUCUCUAUGCUCGAAGGCGAAGGUGUGCUCUAACUCUUUCUCUGCAUUAUCUGAUGAUUAGUUUUUUAUUUUGGAAUAUUCAGGAUAUCUCGCGUAUCCCAAAUUUUCGUAGGUUAAAAAGGUUAAUUUCUGAGUUCUCGAUUCAAUUAGUGGCUAUUUGUGAGCCUAAGGUUUCGACAUGUGACAUUCAAAUGCUUUGUGCUCAUCUCAAGAUGGAAGGUUGGAUGGUCAAUAGGGAGGGGUCUAUCUGGAUUUUCAAUCAAAACGGUUUCCAAUGUGCUCCUAUUGGGGAAUCUCCUCAACACCUGUCCCUUAAAAUUUCACCCCAGGCACUAUCGGCUCCUGUUUAUUUGUCCUUCGUCCAUGCAAGAUGUACUGAGCAAGACCGGGUUCCGUUGUGGUCAGCUCUGUUAGCGGAUAAACCAAGGGAUGAUCCAUGGUUGGUGGUAGGGGAUUUUAACACCAUUGUUAGUACAGAAGAGAAGCGCGGAGGGCUGCCUUUUCGGGUAGAUGAAGGUGUGGAACUAAGUUCAUUUAUGUCCAGGGCUGGAGUUUUUGAUGCAGGUUUUUCAGGGUCACGUUUCACAUGAUGUAACAAUAGGGGUGGGCGCGCUCGAAUUUGGAAGCGAUUAGAUAGACUGCCUUGUAGCCCGACUGCGGCUCGCCUGGGGGUGAAUUUUGGAGUUAGGCACCUUGGCAGAGAUCCCUUCGAUCAUGCCCCCCUUUUGCUGUCAGCUUCAACUAGACUUGAUAACAAGCCGAGGCCUUUCCGUUUCCUAAAUGUUUGGACCUCGAAAGUAGAGUUGUUAGAUGUCAUUCGGUUGAGUUGGAUAAGCCAUUGCCCAGGACGCCCGUUGCAGCGGUUGGCGGCCAAAUUACGAUUCACUAAACAUGCAAUCCAACAGUGGUCGCGGGACCAUUUUGGUAAUAUAUUUGACGUAGUGAAGCAGGCAGAAGAGGCUGUAGGGGCGGCGGAGGCUGCACUUUAUAGCAUCCCAACACAACAACAAUGGUUAGCACUCCAGGAGGCAAGGACAGUAUUGCGGAACUCCCUGGCCAUGGAAGAAGCAUAUUAGAAGCAGAAAGCAAGAAUCAAGUGGCUUAAGGACGGGGAUAAGAACUCAAGGUUCUUUCAUGCGGUAGUGGCGGAGAGAAAGGCUAAAUCUGUUAUACAUCGGAUUCGGAGUAGAACGGGAGAGUGGCUGACCGAUGAAGCUCAUAUUUCGGCAGAGGCGGUGGAUUAUUUCACAUCCUUAUUUUCGACUGAAGAUUGUACGGGGUCAUGGAGUACCUUGGAGGUCAUCCCCAAUAUUAUCUCAAGGGAACAAAACGCCGAGUUGGAGCGCAUCCCUUCAAUGGAAGAGAUAAAAGAGGUUGUAUUCGCAAUGGAUGGUGAGAGUGCGGUGGGCCCUGAUGGAUUCACGGGUAAAUUCUUUACAUUCGCAUGGGGCGUAGUGGGGCAUGAUGUUGUUGAGGCUGUUGUGAGCUUCUUCUGCGGUCAUGAGUUGCCGAGGAGCAUUACGGCGACUUCGAUCGUCCUCCUGCCGAAGUUGCCUUCGCCCCAAGACUUUAGUCAGUUUCGUCCCAUAAGCCUUUGCAACUUUGUAAACAAGGUUAUUUCAAAAAUCCUGGCGAAUCGGUUGUCAACAGUGUUGCCAAGUAUUAUUUCUCCUCAGCAGAGUGGAUUUGUUAAGGGCAGGCAAAUUUUUGAUAAUUUCCUAUUGGCCCAGGAGUUGGUAUCGGAUAUUCACCGAAAGAAUAGAGGGGGAAAUAUUGUAUUCAAACUCGAUAUGACCAAAGCCUAUGAUAGAGUCUCUUGGCCAUUGUUGCUUCAGGUGUUGAGGAGGUUUGGGUUUGGUGAGAUCUGGAUUGAUAUGAUUUGGAGGCUUAUUUCGAAUGUAUGGUUUUCAGUAAUCAUUAAUGGGGCCCCUCAGGGGUUCUUCAAGUCUAGUCGUGGUUUAAGGCAAGGAGAUCCGAUUUCACCGGCUCUCUUUGUGAUUAGUGCGGAAGUCCUUUCUCGUCUUUUGAACUCCUUGAGUAGCCUUCGGGGCUUUACGCCUUUCAGAGUUCUAAGGGGUUGUCCACCUGUUACUCAUCUUGCCUACGCAGAUGAUAUUAUUGUCUUCUCUAGUGGUUUGCGGCAGUCUGUGCGGUUGGUGAUGAAGGUGCUGGAUGCUUAUGUUUCAGUGUCAGGACAACAAGUAAAUUUGCAUAAGAGUUGCGUCCUGGCUCAUGCCAAAUUUCCUGGGAGCAGAAAGCGGUCUAUCGCAGAGAUGACAAGUUUUCAGGCCAAGGAGUUUCCAGUCAAAUAUCUGGGUUGUCCUUUAUAUGCAGGACGGAGGAGGAGAUGCUACUUUGCAGGGGUUUGUGCCUCGGUCUCAAGUAAAGUGUUGUCAUGGAAAGGGAGGCUUCUCUCGCAUGGUGGUAAGUUAACUUUAAUCAAAAGCGUGCUUUCUUCUAUGUCGCUUCAUACACUCGCUGCUGCGACCCCUCCAAAGUCAAUCCUUAACGGGAUGGAGCGCAUUUUUGCUGAUUUUUUAUGGAGCUCCUCAGAGGUUCGACCACGCUUCCAUUGGAUUAGGUGGGAUCAGUUGGCUAACUCGUAUGCAAAGGGGGGUGCUGGCUUGAGAUCCCUUAGGCAUGUGUAUGAUGCCUUCUCAAUGAGAUUGUGGUGGCAUUUUCGGUUGUGGCAAUCGUUGUGGGCUGAGUUCAUGCAUUGUAAAUAUUGCCCCAAUCUAUAUCCUAGCUUUGCUGAUACUUCUCCCGGGGACUCCUGGACAUGGAAGAGAAUGGUGGCUAUCCAGGGGGUAGCGGAGCAACACAUCCACUGGAAGUUGGCUAGGGGUAGCGUGAGCUUCUGGCAUGAUAAUUGGUUGGAGACUGGCCCAUUAUGUAUGGAGGUGGAUACUUUUCAGGAGUACAUGGUAUCGGAUUUUGUUGAACAUGGUUGUUGGAAUGUACAACGGCUAGGCAUGGUGCCGCCUAGCGGAUGGGUGGGGAGGAUUUUGGGAGUUGUGCCCCUCUCGUUGGACUAGGCGGAUACCAUGGUUUGGGCUCCUAGUAUCUCUGGUGUCUUCUCUUUAGCAUCUGCCUACCGGAUUGCUCAUGAGGGUGGAAAUAGCUCUUGGCUUUACUCACAGUUUUGGCUACAAGAGUUGCCGAUAAAGAUCUCUUUUUUCAUGUUGAGAUUGAUAGGGUCCCGUUUGCCGGUGAUGAAAAGGUUGCAUAAACUUGGCAUAGUUGGCCCAUCUCGUUGUGGUUGUUGCUUGUACCCAGCUCAAGAGUCUUUGGAUCAUAUUUUCUGUACCGGAGAGGUGGCAAAGAGGAUUUGGGGUUACUUCGAGGGGGUGGUUGGAGGGUUUCAGGAGUCCUUUACGAUACGUCACAAGUUGGUUAGCUGGUGGUUGAGGCCUUCUCGGAACCCGUAUCUCCAGUAUCUUUUUCGUUUACUGCCGUCCUUGAUCUGUUGGCAUUUGUUGAAGAUGCGGAAUUCGUUUGUCUUUGAUGGCCACCACACGCCCAUGGUGCAUGUGUGUUCAGCAAUUUUUGGGGAUCUCAGGGAUAUUUUCCACCUUAAAUUUAAACGCCUGGCUCUCUCUGUUUAUGAUUGGCUGGGUUGGUACGGGAUGGUGGCUGGCCUACAGAGGGUGGUCAGGACCUUGGUUGUGCGGUGGAGCUGCCCAGCGCACAAUAUCAUCAAACUGAACUCGGAUGGAUGCUCUCGGGGGAACUCGGGAGUGAGUGGAGGUGGGGGGUGCUUAGGUGCUCGGAAGGAAGGUUUAUCUUGGGGUACUCAUGUUUCCUUGGGGAGAUGACAAGUCUACAGGCUGAAUUGAAGGCGUUGAUUUUUGGUGUUAGGUUGGCUAUUGACCGUGGGUAUUCUAAUUUACAGUUAGAAUCUGAUUCAUUGGUUCUGGUUCAGAUCCUCCAAGGGAAGUCUCGAUGUCCGUGGCGGCUGCAAGGGGAUUUACAGGACCUGUUAAAAGUCAAAAGGUUCGUCAGAAAGGUAUCACACUGCUUUCGGGAAGCGAAUAAACCGGCUGACCGCCUUGCAAACAUUGGAGCAGACUCAGGGACGAUUCUGACGUACGAUUCUUUGCGGGAGUUGCCUCGCUUGGUGAGGGGGGAUUUCAUUCUUGAUCAGAUGGGGGUCCCAAGUUUGCGUAGAGUUAAAGUGUAAGAGUUUCCUAGCGCUUGGGUUUCUAACAUGUAUCCCAUCCUUUUUAUGAAAUAAAGUAAUAUUUAAAAAAAAAAAAAGGGUUUGCUGCUCAUCAAGUAAUUCAUCAUUGUAGAGCUGCUAACUUACAACCUUAAUGGCGUAUGUGCUAGUAAUCUGCCGGCUUGGGACCUCGGGCACGGACGGUUAGAAGUCCUACAACACAAACCUAGGAAGAGGUGGGGUUUAAUCUCUUCGUGUAACUCCAAUGCUUAAGUCAAUAAGAGCUCAAAGCAAAAUGAAAGCAAGUAGCCAAAAGGAGAAACGAACAGCUUCCCCUUCUUCAGAAAUGUGAGUGGUAUUUAUACUAGGGGUUAGGAGAGAGAAAUAGGAGACAAAAUCUAACAUCACAGUCUGAAUGGAUCGAAGGUGUCAAAACUGGUACAAACAGCUAGUGAGUGGAAAGCAGCGUCUAACAGGGGUCACGUCAAAGAACCCUCCCAAGAUAGUCUUGGAUGACCGCUCAGGGGCUUCGCGUCUUUAGAAACGCUAGUAGUUCGGGUGGAAGGAAACCACUCAUUGCAGGAGAGCUCGGCCAGGUUCCCUCAAAUGGCAAAUUUAACAAUCUCUUUAAGUCAACUAUCUCUCAAAGUUAAAAAAAAAAAAAAAAAAGUUUGGUAAUUGUAAAAGCACUUCAUAGAUUUAAGGAAAAAAAAUAAAAGAAAAGAACUUCAUAGAUCUCGAUGGGUUAAAAUUUAGUAUAUGAACUUCAUAUAAACAUAGAAUAGCAAAAUUAAAGAAUUGUGAAUAAUGUUUCUUUUCUCUGUUGAAGACAAGCAAUGUUUCUUUUAUCUAUCUACACCUUAAAAAACCAAAGUUAACUAUUGAUUAAUGUUGCAGCUCAUACGCAUCUAUUGUGUAAUUGCUGAAGAAGGGUGUCCGAGGUUAAUAAGUUGUCAUCCAAUCACUAAAAAUCUUAACAAGAUUCAAUAUCCAAUCUAUCAGAAGGUUGUAGGAAAUUGAUAAGUAAUUGAAAACCAUUAUUCUUUUUAAUCCUGUAAUUUUGAUAGCUAGGAAAAAAAAUAAAAUGAACUAAUGUUUUAUUUGACUAGAAAUGUGUAAGAAAUGGAGGUUAAUGAUGCCUUGCACCAAAGAAGUCAAAAAGAGUACAUGACGGAUGAAGAACGAACCAAGUGGUAUUUAAUAGUCCAAUUUCGUAUGUACUACUUCAUUGUGUCUAGUAUAACCUUGAAAUUUGAGGCUGAUUGAACAUAGUAACAAUUGUUUUUCCAAAUUGAAAUUACAAAUUGUGAAAAGUAAAGGCAUUUCGAAAGAAAAUUUCAAUGGACUUGAGAUGGACUCAAGAAGAACUCGAAGUUGAUGCUUGAAAGUAUUACACCUCGGGGCAGGGAGGAGGUAGGGGAGAGUCGAAACCAACGCUUCUAGUUUUUGACAUUUGAACCACAAACCAUUCCUAGACAAAUUUGGUUGGCUUAGUUCUAUAACGGUUUUGUGGCUAGUCAAGACAUUGUAGCUGCUUGCGGAUUUUUUUGCCUUUUUGGGUGGCGGCAAGUCAACCAAUUCCAUUACAUCCAAAUUGGGCUUUAUUGAUAAAUGUUAUCAGGCUAGUUUGGUUCACUUUGGCCUUCGGCUUACAUUUAUCUCACAAUCACCACCUUGGUUGUCGUGCUUAUGUGUUGGUCGAAAUUUAUUGGCUGGUUGUGGUAAAUGGGAAUACUAAAGGUGUCCUUGGUUUUGAAUUCCACAGUAUAGUCGCCUCUGUGUAUUAUUAAAGCUACAAACUACAACAAAGUAGCUGCAAACUGCAACAAAGUAACAUGUGAAUGAAGCCACAAGAAGACAUCUAGUCAAUGCCCAACAAGUAAGAGAAGAACACAAACUUGCAAACAUUUAUUAUCAAUUAAUUAUUGCAGAGUACACUGAUUUUGGUCGAAUGACAGAUGUCAGAUCUGACAAACAGUCAUGGAAUAUUAUUAUCUACCACAGCAUCUAGGAAACGUCCCAAUGAAGCAGAGGAUGAUCCUUCUCCAUUGAGAGUCAACCUGCUCUUCUCUUUCAUUUCCUUCACCUUCUUUCUGAUUUCAUU